rnacentral:lncRNA from 1 species
GCUCUCUAUGGUAGGAGAUGUAGAUCUCCAAUCAGUUGGUUUGAAGUUACUGAGUCCUCAGUCAUAGGGCCUAACUUAGUUUUUGAUGCCUUAGAGAAAGUCCAGUAGAUCAGAGAAAGACUCCAUGCUGCUCAGAGCCGACAGAAGUCUUAUGCAGAUGUAGAUAGAAAAGAUCUCGAGUUCCAAAUCGGUGAUUAUGUCUAUAUAAGGAUAUCUCCCAUAAAGGGAGUGAAGAGGUUAGGCAAAAAUGGAAAGCUCAGUCCCUGAUAUGUCGUCCCCUUCAAGAUUCUCAGUCGCUUUGGUAAGGUAGCUUAUAAUCUCGAUUUGCCUUCAGAUCUAGCCUCAGUUCAUCCAGUAUUUCAUGUAUCUUUGCUCAAGAAGUACGUAGGUGACCCAUCAGUCAUAGUCCCUAUUCAGAGCAUUGAUGUUCAGAACAGCCUCUCGUAUGAAGAGAUUCCAGUUAAAAUCCUAGAUUAUCAAACUCGUAGACUAAGGAACAAAGAAGUCACUCUAGUUAAAGUUCUUUGGUAAAAUCAGUACGUUGAGGGAUCUACUUGGGAAGCAGAAGCAUAUAUGCGCACCAAGUACCCUCACCUCUUCUCUACCAAUCCAGAUCAAUCUUAAGGUAACAUUUCUCAUUAAGCUUAUUCAGCUUCACAUUCAGCAUUCAACACAACUUAGUAUUCAGUUUCAUACACAUAUUUUCUCACAAAUUUGGUAUCAAGUACCAUUUCAUAUUUGGUCAUGCAUUCAUGUACCAGCUCAGUUAUGAAAUUAUGCAUCAAACAUGCAUUCUCACUGUGAGAAACUUAGUUCUUCAGAACACUUAGUUAUACAUUCAUGAAUCAGUUACACACGCAUCAAAUAUGCAUGUUCAGUAUGUUAUGUUUAGCUUGUCAGUCAUGAGAUCAUGUUCCAGCUAUCCAUGUUUAGUUCAUGUUUAGCUUAUUGUUCCCCCUCUCAUGCAGUCUCAUUUAAGGAUAAAUGUUCCCAAGGGGAGAUAUUGUAAUACCUUGAAUUUUCUUCCUAGCUAAUUUCAUCCCAAGAAUGCCUAGUAUUAGUUUCUAAAGUAAAUAAUGAUUAUUACAUGAGGAAUUUUCAAUAUUUUCACCUUUUUUCAUAUGGGAAAUUCAAUAAGCUUUCCAUCGAUAUAAAAUUUGCCCAAAUCCGACACCCGGGCAAAGAGUUAGAGCCUUUUUAGUGAGAUAGUGUAUCACCUGAGCCUCCAGCGCAUCGCGGAGAUAGCUCAAAUGGAAAUUGUCAAUUUACAAUGUUGCUCGAUGAUAGUGGUGCGUUGCGCUAAACUUUCAUGUCGCAGGCAAGGUGGCAAUGCGAUAGCUCCGCAUUGCGCCACCGUGCAAAUUCCUAUUUGUCAUUUUCCAGUGACUUGGCGCGAUAGUGGCACGUCGCGCCAAGGAUGAAAAUUGGAAAAUUUUCUCAAAAAUUAAAGACGUGUCCUAGGGUUAAAAGGGUCAAUUUUCCCACCCUAUAUAAGCCUUAUAACACGAGAUUUGGCCAUAAUUCAGCAACUUAUACUCAAUUACUCUCAAAAACUCUCAAGAACAAGCCCUAGGGUUUUCAUAGAAGGUUCAACUCCAAGGGAAUUCAUCGUCAAAUUUAAAUAAUCUCUCCGUCAAUCUUCACAAAAUCACGAACUAAGGUACGUAGUGUUCAUCCACGAAUCUCUUUUAUUCGUGGAGUCUAAGAAUCAUGUUUUAAAUAACCUAUUGUGAUUUGCUUGUUGUGAUUUAAUCAUGUUCAUGUUGAUAGUUGUUAUUUAUAUUUCAAGAUGGUAUCUUGAUGACUUUCCAUGAGGUAUGUGCAUUUGUUGAUUGAAAACCUAUGAGUUUGGGUAGUUUUAGAUUCUUAAAUUGAUGAUUUCACCUAUACUAUAAAGUGUGCAUGUAAAGUGUUUGAUAAAAUUCCUAGAAUGAUAGAAUCAUGUUCCUUAUGACUCAAUAGUAUCUAAAUGACAAGUCCAUGCUAACCCUUAUGAUGCCACACAAUUUCCACGCUCUUGUUAUGUAUUGACUGUUGUGUUAUGCAACGUUCAUGGUAUUGAAAUCAUGCAAGUAUGUACAUGUUAUAUGCAUUCCCUUCCAUGAUCAAGACUAUGAUAACCAUAUGAAGCAUGAAAUCCCUUAUUUAUGGCAUUAUGAAUUAUGAACUCUAUUCCUAUGAUCAAGAAGUAUUAUGGAUUGUUGAUGUUGGUCAUGUAUUCAAGAAUGUCAUGGCUUGUUACUUUCCUUAUAUCGAGUCCUGGGGGUACUUGUACCCAAAAAAUAUAGUUGUGUGCCUAGAGCUAUGUCAUAUUUUCAUGAUACUCUCAGUCAAGCCAUGUUCCAUAGAAGUCAGUCAGUCAUGUGACUCAGGAAAUCUCAGAAAUCUCAUGAACUCAGUACUCAGUAAGAUCAGUAAUCUCAAGAACUCAGUUAGUUAUUAGAUAUUAAUAGAAUUCCAUCAGUCGAUGGAAUUUAGUAAACUCAAUCCAUGUACAAUCAGUCAAUCAUGUUCAGUCUCUUCAGAUGGGAGUAGAAUUUAGCACCGAAUGAACCCAAGGAUGGGAACACACACUGUCAGAUGAGGGUGUAAUUCUUAGCAGUCAUCCUUGUGUUCUAGAACUAUGUAGCCAGCAUAGGUUGAGAUAUCAACACUUUCAGAUGAGAGUUGAUGAGGUGGAUAAGUACUAUCAAAUGAGGGCCCCACCAUUCUCUUUUGGGGACACUGUUAAAUGAGGUUACCUACAGUUGUCCUUACCAGUGGCGCGAUAUUGACACCCUUCCAAUCAGGGCAUAGAUUGGACCCCAGCUCAGUUGUUCUAGCAUAUUUGGGGCAUGAUGGUUAAAUAACUAUUCCCAUAGUUUCAGUAUCAGUCUCAGUAAAAGAACUCAAAUAGUUCUACAGAUUUUAGUACUGUCAGAUACAAUCAACUCAGUCACAUUACAGAACUUAGAUAGUUCCAAUCAUAUUUAGGACUAUCAGACACAGUCAGUUAUUAUCAUUUAUUAAUGUAAACCCCAUGUAUUCAGCCUACCUCACACGUAUACUCAGUACAUUCUUUUCUACUGACACAUUUGUGCUAUGGUGUUUUCUUUUUAUGUUACACCAUAGGUUUAGAGACACGACUCCCAGAUCAGCAGCAGUACUAGCAUUCCAGGGUUCAGAGUUUUAGCAGUGUGUCCUCAUUCUCUGAGGAUGUGAUCUUAGUUUAUCAUAUCAGUUCAUUUUUUAGUUGACGGAGUUAGUUGGGGGAUAUGUCCCAUCAACUCCUUAGUCAGAUAGUUAGAGGCUUUCAAAUGACUACAGUAUUUUUCAUGUUUUUUAGACUUCUGUAUUUCAGUUUUGUUUUGGUAUCGAGAUACCACUCUAUGUCAGACGUUAUUGUUAUUAUUCAUUUAUGUUCAGUAUUGAACCUUAUGGGCUCUCAUUGCAUGUUUCUGCAUUUUCAUGUCAUAUUAUGUAGUGUACAGGUACAGAUAUCGGUCAUGGAUUAGCUUGUGGUCCUUCGGGGUCAUGAGCACCGUGUAGUGUUCCGGUUCAGAUUAUCAAGGCAUUACAUAAAGUUUUUUAUCAAACACUUGGCAUGCAUGGCUUAUACCAAAUUGGGGGUUUCUAGUCAACAUGCUAUAAUAGCCCUAUUUCCCUCACACAAGCAUUUUAUCAAACAUAUGGGAAGCAUGCUUUGGUCAUAUCACAAUUUAUACACCAAUUCUCAUGAGCAAUCCAUCAACAUACAACUUGAAGGGGGUUUAUCAUGAACAUCACAUGAUUACUACAUAAUAGGUCAAAGCAUGAAACUUUAAAAUCAUAACAUGAUUUAAAACUCCACAACCCCAUGAACUUCAAUCUCAAUUCACAUGAAUCAUGGAAAACACAUAAAUCUAUAAUCUAGAAUUUAGAAAAAAAGGGAUUCUUGGACUUCUUGGGCCGAAGGGACCCAAGAAUGAACAUCUGCAUAUCUUAGUUUCUUGAUUUGGAGAGACUUGAUGGAGGAGUUCUUUACUUCUUGGACCUUUGGGUUGAAACCCUAGGUUGUUCUUGAGGAAAAUUGACAGAAGACUAGUAUAUUUGGGUGAAAUAGUUAUAAAUCUCAUGUUAAAGAGUUUAUAUAGAGGUUGGAAAGUUAUGAUUUUGCCCUUGGAAACACGGAUUGGAUUGCUGAAAUUUGGCCCACGGCUAUAGCCUGGGCGAUGCCUUGGCUUGAGCACUGCUAUAACCAGGGCGGCACCUUGCUAUAGCGGUACUAAGACUAGGGCGGCGCCUCGAAUUUUACAGUGCUGAAAGCUGGGCGACGCCUUGAGAUCGCCCUGAGCUACUGUUUGUUAAAUCCAAACGUGCCCUUAUGUUAUCUAAAAAAUUCCGAAACUCACCCGAAAUGUACUAUGACCUUUCCCCAUCGCAUCGCAAUUUGAAAAUCAAAAAUUAGAGGUCGAGAAGGUCACGAAAUAAUUUAUCAAAGUUUGGAAGAUUAUGAAAAUGAAAAAUUUUCAACACUUGGCCAAGUUUUUAAGUGCAAAGCAUCUCUUGACAAGAUUAAAAAGUCCUUAACGACUCAGAAAACUUAUGGGGUCUUACAUUAUCUCCCCUUUGGGGAUAGUCAUCCUCGAAUGUGACUGACUAGAAGAAGAAUACUGAUGAACAGAAUUUACCUAAGGGACGUGAACAACUGAAACAUGAAUAUAUGACUAGAAUUACUGACAUACUGAAAUCUUGUACUGAAUAUGCAUAGCUAAUGCAUAGAAUACCCGACUGAAAUUAUGGAUAAGUUGAAUUCUCAUAACAGACAUUCAUAUCUGAUGCAUGGGCACUUGAAUGAUUUACUUUCAUGAAUGCAUGAUUGAAUACACUAAUAAGCUGAACUUUUCUACUAAGCAUGCUUAGCUAAUGCAUGAAUGUCUGACUGAACUGACUCUGAAUGCCUGACUGUCUAUGCAAUGAUAAUCAAUGCAAAGCUUACAAUGAGAAUAUGAGCUUGAAACUAAAUGGAUUUAAGGAAUUGAUAACUUCAGGGAGUCAUGGAGUAUAUCCCCCUUGGGACACUAUGUCCCACUAAGCAUACUUACCUCACUGAUAUACUAAGGCGAUGCAUAGGGCAUCUACAAACUAGAUUAUAACGGAACCUCAGGAGUCUGAAACUAAUGCAUAUCAUGAAGAUAAAAGAUUCAUACAUACCCGAAUCUAUGUCAGGGAAACUUUCUAGAUCAUGGUGAGUCUGAAGUGAAUAGAGUCAGUUUUGACGGUGACCACUAGUGGUACUAGGAGUGGCAUCCUGCUGAUGUGAAUCUCUACCUUUCUGAGCUAACACUCUACACUCCGGUAUUCUGUGACCUGGCUUACCGAAUUCAAAACAUACCUAACUAUUAGCUCUGCACGCACCUAGAUGGUUCUUGCCACUCUCCACAAAGCGGAUAGGUAUGCUCACUACUAACACUACUCUAGGCUUUGGAGCCUGGUGCCCCAUCAUGACUGACAUCUCUGAAGUUUGGUGUGGUCACACUAGCUGAGGAUGGAGCUGGGACUGAUGUCUUCUGACUAUGGUGAGAACGAUUUCCACCCUAUGACCCGGCUUGAGAAAAGUUGUAACUACCUAUUCUGAAUCUCUUAUUAGAUCUCUCUCUCUCUCCUUAGAUUUAUCUUCCUCUAUCUGCUGGUCAUACAUCAUUAACCUAGCAAGAUCUAUGUCUCUAUUGAGCAUAGCAGUUCUACACUUCUUCAAUACAAACCUGGACACACCAGUCACAAACUUACUCAUACUCGCUCUAGGGUCAGCUAUCAAGUCAGGAGCAUACUUAGCUAACUGAUUGAACUUAAGACAAUACUCCUUCACUAUCAUGGAGCCUUGUCUCAGGUGCAUAAGCUCUUCUACCUUAGCUUCUCUCAUCUCUAGCAGGAAAAACUUAUCUAGAAAGGCAUCCGAAAAUACUUGCCAAGUCAUGGGAGUUGCAUCCUCUCCUCUACUCUUCUUCCAUAUUACUACCCAAUCAUGAGCAAUAUCUUUCAUCCUAUGGGAUGCUAACUCUAUACUCUCUUCCUCAGAAACAUGCAUAAUCUGGGUGAUCUUUUUCACCUCCUCUAGAUAAAGAUGGGGGACCUCACUUAAUACUGACCUAAAAAAUUCUGGCAGGUUUGUUCUCAUGAAAUUUCUGAUCCUGGCUGUGGCUGAAUCCCCAUCUUGCUGAGGUGGGGCUGCAGCCUGACGAUUUCCCUGAACAUUAGUGGUCAAAGUUUGGGCUAGCGCCUGAAAAGCUGCCCAGAACUCUGCAUAUGACACAUUCUCAUUUAGAUGAUCCACGGGCUGAGGGGCUAACUGAUUCCCUGUUCUCUUCUUAAGAGGCAUGUUCUGCAAACAGAAAAGGAACAAGGAUUAAACUAAGAGUUCAACUUGAGCUUUUGCUCACUGGCACGACAUGAAUAAUGAAAGAAGGGAAACUAUCCCUAAAACAUCUUAUAGCCUCCUUUACAUAAAUGUGGCAUACAACACACCCAUGUACAAGACUCUACUAAAUGCGGCUUUUCAGACUUCCUAGGACACAAUUGAACCUUAGGAUCUGAUACUAAGUUUGUAAUGCCCUAAUUUUCUAGAACCAAAAUUUCACACAAUGCUCAUGAUCUCGUGGAACCACAAGCUAACUCUUUUUUGAUAUUUGUACCUGAGCACUGCAUAAUAUAUUAUAAUAAAUACGGAAAGUUGGCAAAAACUUGCCUUAAGGUUUAAAACGUCUAAAAUACUCGAAACUAAAAACUGAAUACUGAUACAUCUGUCUGAAAAAACCUCUAAUUGUCUAAAUUGUGGAGUUGAUGAGACAUGUCCCCAACUAACUCCAUCUACUGAAAAUAAUUUGAAUCUAAUGAAAUAGUAAAAAUAAGGAUCAUUCUCAAAUAAAGAGGACUCACUGCUACGUCUACUGUUGCUGACUGGAUCUGGACUGCUAAGGGUGCUCUGGGGCUCAUGCUUUUAAACCUAUGAUGUCAAAUAAAACACCAUAGUGCAAAUACGUCAGUACGAGAAUGUACUGAGUAUGAAGAUGAGAUAAGGCUAAAUGAAAGGGCUUAUGCAUGAACAACACUGGCUGAAUACUAUGAAUAAGUUGAAUAAGUACACAUGCAUGAAUGCAUAAAUCAUAACUAAAAUUCAUGGUAACACUGAAUACUUGAACUUCUUACAACUGAGCUGAUUACUGCUGAGCUCUGGUUUACUAGUCACUGGAUACUAACUUACUGAUGAUUGAGUCUUUUAUUACUGAUAUCUAUAACUGAGUCUUGAGCUUGCUAAUAUCAACUGACUGAAACUAAGAUCAAACCUAUCUAGCGGAUGAUCUUCAAAUCUAUUAAUACUGAUAAGAAAUGAUUAAAUCUGAGUUUGAGAUCAGGCCAAUCUAACGGGUGAUCUCUAAAUCUUGUUAUUACUGAUACUGAUUAACUUUAUGUGAGACCAGCCUAUCUAGCGGGUGGUCUAUGAAUCUAUGGAACUAUCUGAGUUCCUUACUAAACUGUGUGACCGUAUCUGACGGUCCUAAAUCUGAAGACUUUCUGAGGUAUUGACUGAGACUGAAUUGAAGUUGAAACUAUAACUGUGGAAGUUCUCACUUAACCGACAUGCCUUGAAUUUGAACUAGUGGGGUCCAACAUGUAACCCCAAAUGGAAGGGUGUCAAUACCAUGCCACGGGUAGAGACCUUUGGUAUGGUCAAGCCUCUCUAACGGGUGACCCUGAAUAGAAAGUCAAGCCUAAGGCAAUAUAAUAUUCAAGUCAAGCCUUAAUCUAACAGGUGACUCCUUGUCCUGUGCUGGCUACGCAGUUCUGGAGUACAACGAUUGCUACUAACGACUCUGCCUCUCUAAAGGGAAAGGCAUCAUCCCUGCACUCGCUCAGUGCUAGUUCCUACUCCUAACUAAAAGACUCUGAGCUGAUUCUUAACUGAACUUAAAUUGAGCUGAAUCUGUUAUUAUUCAUAUUUCUGAACUAAUCUAACUGAGUACACUUGGUUCCGUUAUCUGACGGAAUACAACUGAAUCUAUUAUCUAACUAAAUGAUACUAAGUUUUGAAUUAAUUUAUUGAAUGCUACUGAGAUUUGAGCUGAGUACUGACUGAAGCUGGAAUGCUAACGAUACUUAGAUUACUGAGAUUUCUUAAGUUCUAUAAAUGUCUGAGAGUUUUGGAUUCUACAACUAACUGAUUUCUACUGAUCAUAGCACGACUGAGAUUAUUUUGAGAUCGACUCAGCUCUAGGUAAUAGCUAUAUUUUUUGGGUACAAGUACCCCCAGGACUCGAUAAGAGGAAACUGACAAGACAUGACUCCUCGAAUUCAUGACCAACAUCAACAUCAUAAUAAUAGAUUCACCAUUCACUCAAUAAAACGUCUCUUCAAGGACUUACAAAACCUAAUAUGUAUGUACAUAGGGAAUACAUACCAACAUUUCAUAAGUCAUCCCACAAGAUCUUGCAUUAAACAAAUAACAUGCAUUCAAGUGUACAUAAUUGAGGACUUCAUGUUAACAUGUCACAAUUCAUUCACUAAAGCUUUUUAUCAAAUACUUGGCAUGCAUGGCUUAUGCCAAAUUGGAGGUUUCUAAUCAACAUGCUAUAAUAGCCCUAUUUCCCUCACACAAGCAUUUUAUCAAACAUAUGGGAAGCAUGCUUUGGUCAUAUCACAAUUUCUACACCUAAUUCUCAUGAGUAAUCUAUCAACAUACAACUUGAAGGGGGUUUAUCAUGAACAUCAGAUAAUUACUACAUAAUAGGUCAAAGCUUGCAACUUUAAAAUCAUAACAUGAUUUAAAAAUCAACAACCCAAUAAAGUUCAAUAUCAAUUCACAUGAAUCAUGGAAAACACAUAAUAACUAAAAUUCAUGGUAACACUGAAUACUUGAACUUCUUACAACUGAGCUGAUUACUGCUGAGCUCUGGUUUACUAGUCACUGGAUACUAACUUACUGAUGAUUGAGUCUUUUAUUACUGAUAUCUAUAACUGAGUCUUGAGCUUGCUAAUAUCAACUGACUGAAACUAAGAUCAAACCUAUCUAGCGGAUGAUCUUCAAAUCUAUUAAUACUGAUAAGAAAUGAUUAAAUCUGAGUUUGAGAUCAGGCCAAUCUAACGGGUGAUCUCUAAAUCUUGUUAUUACUGAUACUGAUUAACUUUAUGUGAGACCAGCCUAUCUAGCGGGUGGUCUAUGAAUCUAUGGAACUAUCUGAGUUCCUUACUAAACUGUGUGACCGUAUCUGACGGUCCUAAAUCUGAAGACUUUCUGAGGUAUUGACUGAGACUGAAUUGAAGUUGAAACUAUAACUGUGGAAGUUCUCACUUAACCGACAUGCCUUGAAUUUGAACUAGUGGGGUCCAACAUGUAACCCCAAAUGGAAGGGUGUCAAUACCAUGCCACGGGUAGAGACCUUUGGUAUGGUCAAGCCUCUCUAACGGGUGACCCUGAAUAGAAAGUCAAGCCUAAGGCAAUAUAAUAUUCAAGUCAAGCCUUAAUCUAACAGGUGACUCCUUGUCCUGUGCUGGCUACGCAGUUCUGGAGUACAACGAUUGCUACUAACGACUCUGCCUCUCUAAAGGGAAAGGCAUCAUCCCUGCACUCGCUCAGUGCUAGUUCCUACUCCUAACUAAAAGACUCUGAGCUGAUUCUUAACUGAACUUAAAUUGAGCUGAAUCUGUUAUUAUUCAUAUUUCUGAACUAAUCUAACUGAGUACACUUGGUUCCGUUAUCUGACGGAAUACAACUGAAUCUAUUAUCUAACUAAAUGAUACUAAGUUUUGAAUUAAUUUAUUGAAUGCUACUGAGAUUUGAGCUGAGUACUGACUGAAGCUGGAAUGCUAACGAUACUUAGAUUACUGAGAUUUCUUAAGUUCUAUAAAUGUCUGAGAGUUUUGGAUUCUACAACUAACUGAUUUCUACUGAUCAUAGCACGACUGAGAUUAUUUUGAGAUCGACUCAGCUCUAGGUAAUAGCUAUAUUUUUUGGGUACAAGUACCCCCAGGACUCGAUAAGAGGAAACUGACAAGACAUGACUCCUCGAAUUCAUGACCAACAUCAACAUCAUAAUAAUAGAUUCACCAUUCACUCAAUAAAACGUCUCUUCAAGGACUUACAAAACCUAAUAUGUAUGUACAUAGGGAAUACAUACCAACAUUUCAUAAGUCAUCCCACAAGAUCUUGCAUUAAACAAAUAACAUGCAUUCAAGUGUACAUAAUUGAGGACUUCAUGUUAACAUGUCACAAUUCAUUCACUAAAGCUUUUUAUCAAAUACUUGGCAUGCAUGGCUUAUGCCAAAUUGGAGGUUUCUAAUCAACAUGCUAUAAUAGCCCUAUUUCCCUCACACAAGCAUUUUAUCAAACAUAUGGGAAGCAUGCUUUGGUCAUAUCACAAUUUCUACACCUAAUUCUCAUGAGUAAUCUAUCAACAUACAACUUGAAGGGGGUUUAUCAUGAACAUCAGAUAAUUACUACAUAAUAGGUCAAAGCUUGCAACUUUAAAAUCAUAACAUGAUUUAAAAAUCAACAACCCAAUAAAGUUCAAUAUCAAUUCACAUGAAUCAUGGAAAACACAUAAAUCUAUAAUCUUGAAUUUAGAAAAAAAAUAGGAUUCUUGGACUUCUUGGACGGAAGGGACCCAAGAAUGAACAUUUGCAUACUUAGUUUCGUGAUUUGGAGAGACUUGACGGAGGAUUUCUUGAGUUCUUGAACCUUUGGGUUGAAACCCUAGGUUGUUCUUAAGGAAAAUUGAGAGAAGACUUGUACAUUUGGGUGAAAUAGUGAGAAAUAUCGUGUUAAAGAGUAUAUAUAGAGGUUGGAAAGUUACAAUUUUUCCCUUGGAAACACAGAUUGGAUUGCUGAAAUUUGGCCCAGGGCUAUAGCCAGGGCGACGCCUUGGCUUGAGCACUGCUAUAACCAGCGCGGCAUAUUACUAUAGCGGUGCUAAGACCAGGGCGGCGCCUUGGAUUUUGCAGUGCUGAAAGCUGGGCAACGCCUUGAGAUUACCCUGAGCUACUGUUUGUUAAAUCCAAACGUGCCCUUAUGUUAUCUGAAAAAUUCCGAAACUCACCCGAAAUGUACUAUGACCUUUCCCCAUCGCAUCGCAACUUGAAAAUCAAAAAUUGGAGGUCGCCGGUCACUAAAUAAUUUGUCAAAGUUUGGAAGCUUAUGUAAAUGAAAAAGUUUCAACACUUAGCCAAAUUAUUAAGUGCUAAGCUUCUCUUGACAAGCUUAAAGGGGCCUUAACGACUCAGAAAACUUACCGGGUCUUAAAUAUCAGCACCAUCUUCAAGGACCCUUCGGCCUUAUCAAUUUGACCUAUCAAAGUUAACUAUACAAUACAAGAUCUUGUUUGAAUGAUCAAUGCCUAAUCAAUUAAAAACUGCAUUCAUAAAACAUUAUAUUUUAUGUGUGUUGUCACGAUGACCUUAUAAGUAAUACAUAACUCUCACACUUGAAAUUGGAUCCAUCCAUUUGCACGCACCUUAUUCUUCCUAACCCAUCUAUGGCUUAAUCUGAAUCAACAUAUGACUAACCUGUUGCAACAAAUGACAUAUCUAUUAAAAUUAUUAAAUAAUUCUAGAUAUUUGUUGCGAUAGAUGAUCAAUCUAUUACAACAUAUGACUUAUCUAUUGGAAAUAAUCAAAAAGAUAUAUGCAUCUAUUGCAAAAGAUUGUCGAUAUGUUGUAAAUUAUCAAACAAAUAGAACAUAUUUUGCAAAAAAUUACCAAUCUGUUAGAUUUAUUUUAAAGAAAAUUUAUUUUCUUUCCUAAAUACAACAAAAGAUAAAAUGAUGUAUUUACAUUCAUUUUUUUAAUUUACAUAUUCUAAAAGUCAGUAGUUUUAUUUAAUUUAGGAUGUAAUUAUUCAUAACUUACACUUCUAGAUAUGGAUGAUCCGAAUUUGGACAAGGUGAUUUUGCACGACUCCUUACGAAAACUUGAAAGGCAAAUUCAUGAACUCUGGUGGGAGUUGGGCGACAUGAGGGCCAGGCUGAGGAGGACCCUACUACUGUCGGAUGACAAUUGAUUGGUUGACAAUAAUAAUGAUAAUGAUAACAAUAAUAGUAAUAAUAAUAAUUAGGUUAUGUUUUUCUUUUAGCGUAUGUGUUUUCUUUUAAUAUAUCGGAUCUACAGAAGGGAGGAAGCUAAUAUAUGUUUUGUUUAUUGUAAUUUGUAUAUCAUUGAUUCAAAAAUCUAUGUUUGGUCGACUUUAGAUUUUUAAUUCUUAUUUAAUAUAAAUUUCAUUCUGUCUAUUCCUUAUUCUCUACAUAUCAACGGUUGGAGGUAGGGAUUGAGCGUUUGUGGCAACGGAUGCACCAUAUGUUGUAACAGAUGGUUAAUCUUUUGCGACAGAUGAAUCAUAUGUUGUAACAGACGGUUAUUAAUAAAAAAGGAUUAUUGUUAUUGAUAGGGUAAAAAGUCAUGACUUUUUUAUUAUUUAAUAUGAAAAAUGGUUCAUAAAUAAAUAAUAAGGAAAUAAAUGAGAAACCACAGUUUAUAAUUGUACAAAAUGAUUAUCUAAUUUUAAUAACUGAUGUUUAAUAUUAAAUAGGUGACAAGUCAUGACUUUUUUAAUAACUGAUGUUGAUAUUAAAAAGAGGUAAACAGUCGUAAUUUUUCGUCUAACACAUUCAAAAUAGUUGAUGAAUCAAAUUUCCCCUUUGUUGCUACUGAUGAAUCAACUAUUAAAAGAAAUCAAAAAAGCUCAUUCAAUAGUUGGUCAAUUUGUUGCAACAGAUGGUAUAUCCAUUGCCACAAAUGGGUUAUCUAAUGCAACAGAUAUACAAACUGUUUUCACAACUAAAAAAAUGGUUAUUAUUUUAUUAAAAGAAACAGCUAUUGAAAAGGUGAGGUCUUUGAUUAUUUAAUUGAGAAAAAGAUUAUAUAAUUUAAGAACUAAUUAAUAAUAAUAAGCUGAAUAAUCAUGACUUGUCACACUAAUCAAAAAGUUACCAGCUUGAUUUAAUUAAGUUAUUUCUUUUCACAGAAAACCAUAAGAAAAUAAAUUAUAAACACAAUUUAUUUAUAACCGUAAAAAAAUAGUUAUUUAAUUUGACUAAUUUUUGUUGAUAUUAAAUAGGCGACAAGUAGUGACUUUAUCAUUUUUGUUUUUAAAUCUAUUUUUUAAUUUAUAUAAUAAAAAAGUCACCAAUUUGGAUUAAUGAAAGUAUAUGAUUAUUAUUAAAAAAGAUAGAUUAUAUGUUGCAACAGAUAGGUUAAAUGUUACAACAGAUACAUUAUCUGUUGCACGGAUGGUUUAAUUGAGAAAAAGGUCAUUUAAAUUUAAGAAAUAAUUAAUAAUAACAAUCUAAAAAGACACGACUUAUCACAAUAAUUAAAAAGUCAGUCAGCAGCUUUGAUUUAAUUAAGUCAUAACUUUUCACAGUAAUCAAAAAGUUACUAGUUUGAAUAUAAUUAAUAAAUAGAGGAAAACCGUCAUGCAUUUUUGCCUAACUCAUUCAAAUUUGAUCCUAUAUAAAUAGGUCCCUCCUUACUCAUUCAUUCUACUACACUCUAUUUAUUUUUUGCAUCUUGUCUUUCAUAUUACACCUUCAACCACUUUCUCUUCAAAGACCAGAUACCUUUUUCCUGACUCAGGUAUGUUUUUUUCUUGCUUUUUGUAUAAAUAUACCCGAUUGGUAGUAUACAUUGUAUUACAUUUGGAUUCAUUUCUUUACUUUUUUUUAUGUUUUUGUCAAUUCAUACAUGUUCUAGAUAUGGCUGGUCCAGUUUGGGACGUUGCUAUUCUGCAAGACACCGUGGUGGAACUUCAGAGGCAGGUUAAUAACCUAUAGUGGGAGUUGGACGCCGUGAGAGCAAGGAUGGUCUAGGAUAUUUGCAGGCUGAGGAGGACCCUGCUGCUGCCGGUUGAAGAUUGAUCGGCUGACAAUAAUAAUAAUAAUAAUUAUUAUUAUUAUUAUUAUAUUUUUUUCUCUUUGUCUAAGUAUUUUUUUUUUGGUUGGACAUAAGGAAUAAUUUUGAAUCUAGUAUCAAUAGCAAAAGUUGAAACAUAUUGGUUACCCAUUGGGUUUGUGGCAUGAGCUGAUUUGUGUUGUUACAAAUGGAUUACUCAAUUGUUGCAAUAGAUAGUAGUCUAUUGCAACAGAUAAAUAGUCUAUUGCAACAGAUAAUUAGUCUGAUAUAACAGAUAAUAAGUUUUCUGCAACAGAUAACUAGUCUAUUGCAACAGAUAACUCGUUUGUUGCAAUAAAUUACCCAUUUGUUCGAUUCCUAUUACGAUCACUAUAGAACCAUACAUAUGAAUCCAACAUAUGAGUCUUCUGUUGCAGCAGAUUACUCAUCUGAUGCAACGGAUGAGUGACCUAUUUAACUUGUGGUCUCUUAUGUUGGAUUCAUGGUCGGGUUCUAUCCAAUGUUGAAAAAACAGCAAUAGUUGUGUACCCAGAUGACAAAUUCGACUAAAAAUUAAAAUUUUACUUACCAAAGUCACCUAUCAAGUAAUGCCGAAGUGAAAAGUGAUGUACGAAACAAAAUUUCACCUAAAAAAUGGGUUAAGUCGCAGCAGUAAUGGAAAAAACAACAACAAUGGUCGAUAAGAAAAAGAUGAAGAUGAUAAUGAUGUAGAAGAUGAUGAUAAUGAAGCAGAAGACGAUGAUUAAAGUAGCAACAACAAUGAACCACAAAAAUUGUGAAGAGGGAGAAAAAACAACGGAUGAGAAGAGAGAUAAAUGCACCUUUUUUUUCCUCUGUUUCCUAUUAUAUUAACUAACAUUUGGAUCACAGUGUAAAUUAAAAAACUUGAGGGUUAUUUUCAAACUUUCCCAACUUUCUUAAUUCAUAAUAAAGUAAUUGUCACCUACACUCAAUUAUUAAGACUUGAGUCACUUACAUCAAAUUUUCAAACUUUUUUGUCACUUUAGUUCAAAGUCCCUAUACAUAGUCAAAUAAGUACUCACUUCGCUUCAUCUUGUUAGUUAUAGUUUGACUUUCACAAAGCCUAACAGAAGGGAAUUAAACGACUUUUGAAACUUGUUGUUCUAAACAUAUCAUGCUAUUUGUGUGGAUUAGUUUCUAUGAAUAUUACAUCUAGACGGAGAAAUAAGAAAAUAGUGUAAAUAAAAAUAAAUUGAAAAAGUUUUGUUUCUUGUGAGAAAUUGUGAUUAGCCUUCUAAUUAAAUUAAUCCAAACCUAAUUAACAAUCCAAUAAGUGUAACCUUUUGGAAUUUGUGGCAGACAAGUGUGAAAGUUUAGAUAUUGCAAAAGUAUAUCUUUUAUUCAUAGAGUUGUACCGUAUUUAUAAGAGAAAAGUAAGAUCAGAAUAAGCUAAUCAAUCCCUAAUUCUUGGGAGAUUCUUAAAUCAAGGGAUAUCCUCUAAUCUAUGUCCUAGAAUAAGAACUAAUAUAUUUUACUAAGAUACAUGCUAUCCCAUAAUUAUAGGAGCUGAUUUUAAUCAAAUCUGCCGGUCAUUGUAGAGCAGAUUAUGCCUCAAUCUGCCAGCUCAUUCGACACUCCCCCUCAAGUUGGUAUUUAAAUAUUGAACAUGCCUAACUUGGUAACAAAUUACUCAAAGAUAGUUCCGAAGAAGCCUUUUGUGAAAAUAUCUGCUACUUGUUCAGUUGUUGGAACGAAAGGGAUGCACACACUUCCAUCUUCAAUCUUCUCAUUGAUGAAUUGUCAGUCCACUUCAACAUUCUUUGUUAUAUCAUGUUGAACUAGAUUAUAAGAAAUGAUUAUGGAUGAAUUAUUAUCACAAUACAACUUUAUGGGCAAACUCAUAGGCCUCCUUAGUUCUUUUAAAAAAUAUCUUGAGCUACAAUAUUUCACAAAUACCCUCUAUCAGUAGAUAAAUCAGCCCAAUCCGUAUCUUUAUAAGCUUCAAAAAACUUCUUUGGACAUUCUCUUUAAAGAACAACCCUUUCCCAGGAGAACUCUUUAGAUACCUUAGAAUUUGAUACACAACUUCAUGGUGUUCUUCUAAUGGAGAAUGCAUAAAGUGACUAACUAGUCUCACAGCAAAGGCAAUAUCAUGCCUAGUAUGUGACAAGUAAAUCAACCUCCCUACCAAUCUCUGAUAUCGACCCCUAUCAGUUGAUUUUUCAUUCUUUGCAAAUUUUAGAUUUAGGUCAGUUGGAUUUUCAGAUGGUCUACAACCACUCAUUUUUGUUUCUUUUAAAAAAUCAAUAACAUACUUCAUUUAUGACACUAUAAUCCCUUGUUUGGACUAUGCAACCUCCACGUUGAUAAAAUACAUCAGCAGGCCUAAUUUGCUUAUCUCAAAUUUUGAGGUAAGAUGCUCCUUUAGGUUUUUAUUUCAACCACAUCAUCUUCUGUGAGGGUGAUAUUGUCAAUAUACACUAUAAUAAAUGAUAUUUUUCCUUCUAGUGAAUGCUGAGUGAACAUUGUGUGAUCUGUUUGUCCUUGCACAUAUCCUUGCCUUUUAACAAAUUUAUUAAACCUUUCAAACCAAGCCUUUGGAGACUGUUUUAGAUCAUAAAGAUUUUUCCAAGAAUGAAGAUCUUUGACUUGUACUUCUCUUCAAAACCUGGUAGGGGAUUCAUAUAGACUUCUUUUUCUAGUUGCCCAUUCAAGAAAGCAUUCUUCACAUCCAACUGUGGAAGAGACCAGUCAAGGUUUACCCCGAUUGUCAAUAGAACUCUAAUUGAGUUUAGCUUAGCUACUGGAGCAACGUCUCUAAAUAGUCAAUUCCAUAUAUCUACGUGAACCCCUUAGCUACUGGCGGGCCUUAUACCUCUCCAAGGAUCCAUCUGAAUUGAAUUUGGUGGUCAAUACCUAUUUGCAGCCUACUAGUUUCUUUCCCUCAAGAAAAUGUCUCAUUUUUCAAAGAACUCACAAUUCCUUCAAAAUAGCCUCAUCCACUCGGGAACUCGUAGAGUAUUUGGCACAAUUUUUGGGAUCUCCACACUAGAAAGUUGUGAAGUAAAGGUUGAAUAACUAGGAGACAACUUUUUAUAGGACACAAACUGUCACGACCCAAACUAAGGCCUUGUCCACAAGGGGUAUCCCAAACAACAAAGGCCAGAGAGACCCCUUAUCAUACUAUCAUAAGCAUGAUCCAUAUAUAAAUCAAAGUGUGGAAGAUAUACUGAAAUUCAUGGAUACUUAUAAUACAACUUGUGUAAACAAAAUAUGACAAUACAACACUCAAAUAUCGUCUAUGAAGCCUCUACUAACUACUAACUGUCUAGGCUAGGACAAGGCCCCCGGCUAGACUAUUAACUGGAUUAGAUAAACAUAUGAAUAACAUGCCUUUUAGAAUACGAAUGGCUCACCAACUCUGUCACUAUCCCAUAUGAAAUACUUAUGUGAUGGAUCAUGGGGUUGAACCCCCGAACCUAAAAUAUAGGGGGUCGGUACUCAAAAUUACUGGUAUGUAGAACAAUCCAAAAAUAACACAUACUUCAUGUAAAAUAAGUGAGAGCAUUAUAAAAACAAUUUAUCAUAAAUAUAUAUAAAAACACAUGGUCAAUAAUAUAAAGAUCUACAAUUCAUGUUUGUAAAAUAUUGACUCAACUCUUUAAUUUACUUCUAAGCUAGAUGGUACAUCCAACAUUUCUACAAUACCACGGGCUAUAUGGAAUCCUCCCUUAACUCGGAGGCCAAGCCCCCAAUCUAUGUUUGCCACAAGAGUUGGGGUCAGUAAUAAAAUAAGGUGUACCUCCUUACUGACACAACAUGUUAUGAAAAGUAUGCCUCCUUACUGACAUAUAUACCAUGUGAAAAUAUGACUCCUUACUGACAUACAUAUCAUGAAACCCAUAUUGGCAAAAGAAGAUUUCGAGCUACGGGUUAUCUAAACUCGUGUCUUCUUUGGGUAACCAUCUAAUUCUCUUUAUACCUAUUUUUAGCCUCAUAAAACCAUGAUUCAUGCUUAUAACAUUCUUUUCUUUCAUAUUAAGGGCAUUUCGUAAUAGGUAUAGUUAUACCUAGACUUGCAAGCUAUGUCAUAUCAUAUCAUAUCCAUGGUCUUUUCCUCAAAAAUCAUGUCAAUGACCACCAAAAGAUUUAAACAUCGUGAGAGAGUUCGUAUAUCAAUAUCAUAUGAACUUAUACAAAACACUCUCUUUUCAAUACUUUAACAUGUAGAGGUCAAUUCUUACAUAAAAAACAUGCAAUUCUUCACUAAGAAGCAAUAGCAUUUAGAAUAAUAAUCAGCUCUUUGAGAAAGGUGUAAAAUAACCAUGCAUAAUAAGUAAAGAGGCAUCUAAAACUCAAGAAUUAUCCUUAUUCGUAAAACAUCCCCACUAUUAGUGAUAUGUAAACCUCAUGAUUAAAAAAAGAGGACUUCUAGUUCAUUCUCUCAAAACCCAUUUCAUGAUUCAUAACAUGAUAAUAUCAUAAAUUUCAUGAUACAAGGGGAAUUUCAUAAAUCAUGCUCUUAAAUCACUUUUCUAAACUCAUAAGGUAUGUGCACAUGACCACAAUUCAAAUUCAUGGAAAAAAUCCAUUAAUUUCAUAAUUUCAUCAAACAUGGUUCAUGAUGAAUUCUCUUCAAACAGUUUUAAAAACCCAUUACAUAUACAUACAUAUAUAUCUUUGAACUUUGUUAAAAUGGUAAUCUUAUGCCUAUUAGAUUUAGGAUAUUCCCACAUACCAUUUGAUGGAGUAAAAUCAAAGAGAACGUAGAGAAAUUGGCCUCCUUAGAGAGUAGAACCCUCAAACCCUAGGUAGUUUCUCCCCUCUUGCAUGUGGAAUUAUAUUUGGGGAGUUACAGAGGCAAUGUAACAUUUAUAAGGCCUUAAUUUCAUCCAAAUAGAAUUAGGAAUGGUUAUGGUAUGAUAAAAGACCUUUAAGCCCUUAAAAUAAAUCAAACAGAACACUUUUUGAUGCCCUAAAAAGGCUUUGCAUCGCAUGGACAAAGCAAACAUUAGGAUUUAUGUCGCAUGGCCAAAUCAAAGCUGAGGCAGUGUGCUUUGGAAAUUGAUUUGCGGUGCAGGGCAAUCACAGACCCUGGACAGUGCCUCAUUCAAAUACUCAUAAAUUUUGACCCAAGACUCGAAUGAACGGUAGGUGACAGUGCCUCAUUCAAAUACUCAUAAAUUUUGACCCAAGACUCGAAUGAACGGUAGGUGACGUUGGAAAGAAUACUUGAAGUCUUUAAUUUGAUAUAUAGUAGGACAUAUAACUCUUUAUAUCCUAGGAGAAAUUGUCUCUGGAAUUUGACCCAAGCAAAAUCAUCAACUAAAAGUCAAUCGACAGGAAACUGCUCAACUUCACUUUCGAGCUAGGAGAUUUUUAUAGUGUAUAUUUAUCUCUAAGGAUGUUCCCAUACUAAGUAAAUGUUAUUGAAACUUACAUAUAAGUAGAAACCAUUGGGUUCGGGUCUAUACACGCAGGAGAUGGUUCAACUUUAGCCAGAAAGUGAGGGGUGUUACAUUAUCUCCCCAUUGGGAUCAUUCAUCCCCAAAUGAUGCAUAGAAACUUGUUGAAGCUAUAAAUGUAUGGAAUAAAGAACAUAACCUCACAUUGGACAUUCUUUUUUCAAUAAAAUAUGCAAAGGCGCCAAAAGAGCUUUAUGAUAACCCCUAGCGAAUUAUGUAAGCAUGAAGUGUGAGAUAAUAAGAAUUAAUAUAGAGAUGACCUUGCACAAGAGUUCUAUGGAUCACAAUCAUCACAACAUAGGCAUGGGUUUAUUUGGCAAUAAUAGGCAUUAAUUUACAUUGAUACUUGACAUGAAAUAAGGUCUCAUGGGAGUUAGAAAUAGAAGAAUUCUCUACCUUACAAGAUACAAUGAAUGGACCUUAAACUUAAAGACAUUAUUCGUCUAUGACCCUAACAAUAAAUAACAUACUUAAUUAUUUCCAACUUAUAAUUCCCCAUAACACACCUAACCACAAGAGUUUGAGUUCUAACACAUAGUAAUUCUAUUUUGAAGCCUAACCCAGAGUUAAAAGGUGCUAACUAAAGCUAUGGAACCUGUACUCUACCUCCCAUUAAGAAUAUUACCUCACCUCAUCACUAUAAUUCAACAAACUCGUGUAAUAAUUCAAGGAGUACUAACCACAAAGCAUAUUGGUUUGUGUUUUCAUCUAUCACAAAAUCCAAGCCUAUCAUUACUGCACCCACUUCAUGAAUCUCCCCACUAAGACCAAUAAAUUUGGUCACUCUAACAAAGACUUUCAGGCUAUAUCUCCGUCCUAACUAUUUCACAUAAUGAAAAUUCAUCUCCUUCUUUCCCCCUUCACCUAGAACCUUAGCUCGAGUAGUUUCACCAAAAAUUUAACACAAUAAGAAAACAUUUAGUCCUUUUUCUAAGACAUUACUACGCUUCCACAACCACCAUCAUACUAACAUACGGAGGAUCAUUGAGGGAUCCAAACAUAACCAUCAAGAAUGGAAGAAAUACUAUUUAAUUUUAGCCUAUAUUUGUUGAUCUACUCAAGAUGGGGCAUGAGAUGCCAUAUGUGAUGCAAUAGGCACAAAGUACUACAUACAUUAGAUAUCUAGAUCAUAAAUAGAGAGUCAUUCAGGAAUAAAUAUAGUAUAAUAUGAGUUCAUAGGACUGAUCUUAUGUUAAGAAACAUAAGUGCAUAUAUCAUGAGUUGUAAAACACAAGGCCAAAAUUCAUAAAGUCAAUGAUUGAGACAAAGGUUGAUACUUAAAGCUAUUGCUUCUCAUUUUCAGAACUGAGAUAGUCAUGUGCUUGCAUAAACUUUAUCACUUUGCGUUAAACCCGACAUAAAAUGAAUCGGUAACAUAUAGAAAGCAUAGUUCCUUAGAACUAAACAUGAUAUGAGAUAUGGGUCUUUGUAUCAUAAGCAUCACUACAUAGAUCUUGAAUACUUGAAAGCUUGGAUUACUAGGAGACACUAUUGUUUCUAGUUUGGAAGUCAAAACAUGGACAUAAGUGCAUAGAGAACUCGAAUCAUAGGCAUAGGCAUGACUUGAAUACAUAAGACAUUAGCAUAAUAACCUCUUAAAUUUAAGUAGGAGGGGCUUGCUUGAAUAGGAAUAGAUUUUAUCAUGACUCUUCCCUGAAAUUUACCACCAUGAGAAAAUUUGAUGACUUCCUUAACUCAGUAUCUCCCCCUUAGAUCAAAGUCACAAUCCUAGACUUGAGGAAGUAUCUUCUCAUUAAAUCUACAAGCACAAUACUCAAUAUAAUGGGGUAUCACCAUACACAUAAACGCUAAACUCCCUAUGAUAAACUAUACUCUAAAGGCAUUAUUUUUUGGGAACGCUACUCUUAACUUUCACUAGACUCAAUGUUGCUGAUGUAUUUUUGAGUUCCUAUUGAUUAAUCCAAUCUUGCAUAUUUAGUUGUGUGUCCUAAUUCCAAAAUUUUGAGUGACCUAAAUUUCAUGUAUUUAUUUUUUAUAGUGAUAUUGGAACACUUAAGUAAUUUUGUUCAUAAUUUUCAAGAGUUUAGGUAUGAUUAUUAGCUUACCUUAAAAUGCAUAAAGAGAAAUAAGUUGGUCCUUUAAUUUUUCUAAACCGCCAAAUCCCAAGAAUCCAAAUUUUUUCAAAAAGCUGCCACAACAAUAUCAUCACCACUGUAACUCCUCAUCGUUAUCAUUUCCAUACUUAAAAUCAAUUCCCUUUAUGUUUAUUCUUUCCCCUUCUUAUAUCUACUAUUUUUCUCCUCACACAUUCAUCAUUCCACAAGCAAGAAAACCUUAGUGUUCCUCAUUCAUCUUCUUCUAAUCCAUAAAACCCAAAUAACUCCUCUGUCUCUCCUUCCACAGAUAUCAUUCUUUAUCCCAUCGCUAACACAACACUUUCCAUUCUACCUACCAUUCUAAUCAAACUAUCUAAUUUCACCACUUGGACAAAAUUCAAAAACCCAUUUUUCAAUUUUUCCCUAGUCCUCAGUCCUUUCCUAACCCCACUUCACUAACUCUUAUUCCCUUCCAAAUUAUCAACCCCGAUGAUAUUCCAAUUACAAGUUUGAUUCCCAAAAAAUCAUGAUCUAAACCAAAGAAAACAUAUUCAUCCUCUCCUAUUGUUGUUGAGGACCAUGAUACUAUUGAGCUUUGUCCUUUUAUGACCUCUUCAAUAACUCCUCACACUCUCCAAAGAAAAUAACAAGAAGAGGUAUCUCUAGCUGAAGCACUUCAAGCUAGCAAAAGGAAGUAUAUGGUCACACCUACUCCUUUUCCUCCAUCUUUCUCUCCAGAUGUAAUGCUUUACUUUGUGCAAAAAGGAAAAAUAGUGAAAUACACUAUCCUAAAACCCUCUUCCUUCCUCACAUCCUCGGUUAUGCCAAAGCCCACUCUUGCUUCAAAGUCUUUAUCCUCUUCCAAAUCCACUCUACUAAAAUCCUUUACUCGUUCAAAGAAAUAGGUCCCCAAAACUGUUACUUCUGAUUCCUCUAAUUAUGAUUCACCUCCUGAUAUAUCUUCUAAACUAGAUCCAGAUUUUGAGCUUGAUGAAUCACCUGCAAAUCUUGACUCUUCUACGGAUCAUGUUCUGCACUUUCAAAAGUGCAAGUUGACUAGAGGCCGAAUUGUAAAUGGUUUUGGGGGACCUGAGAUGGGAGUCUGUUAAUAAAAUUAGAGUCCUAGGGGUGGUCACACUUGUUUCUUCAAGGGAAUUCCAACGUAAGUUUGGGAAAUCUGAGAUUUAUGAAUUCUACACCAAUGGGGUUGCUAUUGGAGAGAUGUUUUCUACCACUAUUAGAGGAGUUACUAUUAAUCUUAUUACUAUUGAUAUUUCUAGGAUUCUGAACAUUUCUAUGGGUGGGUUGGGGUCACUAUGUCAAGGUCACUUGGCCUCCAUUUGACAACAUUGCAUGUGCCCUUGACAUCUCGAGGAAGUUCUCUGGUAAUCCUUACUUUGUAAAUCAUCUUAGGGUUCUUAAGAGAGAGAUGUCUCCACUUCUUCAACUUUACUUUGACAUUGUUCAUAAGAUGAUUACUCCUAGAAAUUAAUGAAGAACAGUGGUAAAUUUUCUUGAUCUCAGUCUCAAGGAAUUGCUUGACACUAAAGUGCACAUAGACCUGCCUAGGAUUAUUCUACAGCAUAUGCAAAGGGUUCUUCUCAAAGAUAUCAAUGGUCAUGCCCUCCCAUAUGAAUUCUAGCUUGCUACUAUAUUUGAAGAUUUUAGAGUGCCUAUUCAAGUUUGGUCUCUGCAGACCACCAAAGAUGUUGUAGGGACUGUGAACCAUAUGGAACUAUCUAUUUCAAUGAGGAGUGCUGAUAAUCCUAUGUAAUGAUUAAGGAAUGCUCUUGGUGCUAAAAUUGUUGAGUUAGAGGCUGCUCAAGCUGAACUGGAGGUUGCUCAGGUAGCUCAUAAUGCUGAAAAAACUAGACCUUCUUGAUCAGAUUUUUUUCUCUUCAAGCUACCUUUGAGAGUGAAAGAUCUGUAAAUGCUGAAAUUGUGCAGAAAUUAACUACCCUUAUUCCCUCUUCUUCCCCCACUUAGUUCUCUUCGUAGUGCAUUAGGGAUGUUUUUGUUUUGUGUUGGCAUGUUUCAUAUUUAUUAGUUUUUGGUACUAUCAGUUAUAUCUUGCUCCUGUAUGAGUUGGACUUAAUUACUUCUUGUGUUUUUCUCUUGCUCAACGUAAUGUAUGAUGGUACUUUACUCUGAAUUUUGAUUGUUUUAGUGAUAAACCCAGGCACCAUGGAUUAUUAAACAUUUUUUUUACUUAUUUUGGCCUUGCUUUUCGAUGAUGUCAAAAGGGAAAGAAUAUAUUGAGCAAUGUUUAUAACUCAAAUGACUAACCUAUUUCAUUCUACUAUCCUUGUGUUUAAAUCCUUUAUUGAGUAUGUCAGGAAUUUAAGAAAAAUAUUGUUCUGUUGUGAUACUGUGAAACAUGCACUGGUUUGUCAUCAUCAAAAAGGGGAAAUUUGUUAGAGAAAUGAGGUUUUGAUGAUUGACAUAUGAAUGAAUUAUGAUAUUCAUGCUGGUCCACACAUAUAAAGAAAAUAGAAAUGACUUCAAACAGUUUCACUCUAAAGAACUGAGAAGGAAAGCACCAAUCAGCAAAUUAGUUCAAGAACUUGAAGAAGUCAUAAGUAGAACCUAUUCCUUUGAGUUAAAAGAGUCAUAGACUUUGCGUAAUAGGUUGGUUCUAGAGUUAUAAUAAACUUUAAUUCUAGUCUUAGUGAAUUAUAAACUGAGUUAUGAUUAGUCUCUUCAAUUUAGGGAACUCGAAGGCUUGGGAAUACUUAUCUUGGGAAGAUUUGGGUUAUUUUAGAAAUAAGAGUUAGAGCUUAAUUCCUAGUUUACAAGAGUCUUAUAAUUUGUUUAAUGGAGAAAUUAUAUAACAAGUCUUCCUAUUUUCUUGAUUUGUUCCAACAGAUUACCUAUCAGCUGCAACAUAUAGAUUAUAUGUUUCAACAAAUUGUAUAUUUGUUACGACAGAUAAACCUGAAAACAUCUGCAUAAUGCAACAUAUGACCAACCUAUUCCAAUAGAUAAUCAAUUUUUCACAACAGGUAUUAUAUCUAUUACAACAGAUAUAAAAUCUGUUGCAUUAUAAAAAUUCAACUUUCGCCAGACAUAAAAAUUAUCGUCACUACAUGUACAGUGAAGUGGCUUGAAAUAAAAAAUUGUUAUCGUGUUCGUUUCUGUCUUUGUACAUAUUCUUCUUUAUACACGGGCUCCAAUCAUUUAGUUAGUACCCCAUAAGCCCAUACCUCUUGCAUCUUUCCCACAACGGCGUCACACAUACCGAUCAUUUCUGUGCCGGUCAGCAAACACUCAAUGUAUAAAAGCGAGUACAAUCGCACGCUGCACCAGUUUUAAUUCUUUGGAGCUAGAUGUUCUUAUUUUGACCUUAAAAAACCCAUGAUUCCUUCCUCAAGACUUCCAUCGGCAAAUGAUCCAUCAGCUUACUCUGCGUCAAUAACUUAGGCAACAACUUCAAGAGUGGCUGCAUGUGGGUUAAAAAUGUGUCCUCGUUGAAGAAAGGUAAAUUACAGUCAUAAACCUUAAUUUUUCCCUCGUAGAGUAGUAUCUCAACAGUGAGAAAAUGUUUGACUUCCACGUUCAUGACUGCAAGGAUUCUCUUUACCAUGGUCCAUCUCUGGUCGUGUGGAUAUGGCAUCUUCCCUCUAACAUAGUUAAUCAUGUCUUUAUCCCAUUGGAAUGUAGAAACUAACUUAUCAAAACUCCAGCCACCAUGACCAACUAGCUUACGGAGAUCAUCGUACCUAUCCUUGAAAUUAUUAUAGAAGUUGAGGUCCAUUAUCCUAUCGACAAUAUCAUAAGCGUCUGAGUACGCUAAUUGACUACCCCUUAUGAGGCAGAAAAUUUCAUCAACAUAUUGUGGUAUAAGAAGACAAUUUUAAAUAAGUUAGUAAUUGUAAAGAAGAAAAACACAGUGGAAAGAAUCUGUUACAGAGGGUUCUUGGAAUCAGUUCAUAGAUUACCCAGCUUAUGAAACUUAUGCAACAAAUGUUUAUUAUGUUGCAACAGAAUACCAAUCUAUUGCAAUAAAUUACACAUCUAUUGCAUAGAUUCUUCUUCAUGGAAUAGAUUGGAAUACUAGGUUAACAAAAGUGAACUUACAUUGUCCUCAUACCACUCACGCAUAUUUGUCAUAUUCGGGAAGUCUUUGGCGGCAAAUGAAUGCAUGGUAUAUUAUUUUUGAACCUUUGUCUUUUCAAUCAUAAUUUCUUACAGUUCUUUCUGUUUUUCAUUGCCAAGUGUCGCAUAUAUUUCCACCUUCUUCAGCGGCCCUUGAACUUUAACAACUCUUGGAGCUGGAGGAGUUGCAAUUUUUUUUGUUUUAACAAUAGAGAGAAUUUGUCUAAUGUUCUUCUCUUCCUUCUAACCACCACUAUAGGAAUGUAUGGCUCCCACACCUUGUUGGAUGGUAUGACAUCCCUCCUAGAUUUCAACUCCUCAGCAGCUUUAACAAUAGUCUCUAACUUUUUACAGAGUUUAUACUCUCUGUCCUUGCACAUUUUGUAUUUGCAAUGAGAAUAUGAGGGUGAAGAGGGGUAAGAGAAACUACUAUAUGGGUGGGAGGGACCAGUGUAGGGGUGAGAGGAAACUAUGCAAAGGGCCUUUUCAAAGGUAUUUAUUUUAUGUUGAGAACCAAUAUGCUCAUUAUCACGACUGGCGGUAGUAGUAGCAUCAGGAUGGUUGCCACCAUCAUCAACAACCCCAACAGAAACACCCCCAAAAGAAGCACCCGGAUCUAUUGCAGUUUGAGGUUGGUCAUGAAGAGCUUCAACAUUAGGCUGACCUUGCCUAACUGCUCUUCUUAUGAAUGUUUCUCCAGCUAAUUUCUUCUUUAUUAACUCCACCGUUGGGUCUUCUUUUAUAUUAGCAAGACCUAUAGUAAGAAAAGAAGUCAUCCCCAACUCAACAGUAGGCACAAUCCAAGGAUUCACAACCAAUAAGAAAAGACAAGAGGCAUUGAAAUUAUAUAAUAAUAAUUUGCAAUCAGUUAAAUUACAUGUUAACACAGCCAACUUAUGCAACAGAUGAUCUAGCUAUCGCAAUAGUUGAUCUAUAUGCCACAGCAGAUUAACAAUAUAUUGCAUCAAAUUACCCAUCUAUUACAUAAUUUGCAGUAGAUGGGUAAUGUAUUAAGUCGGGUUCAGAGAACCAGAGAAACAAAUGGCUAAUAUAUUAUAAAAUAUGGAUCGCCUGUCGCAAUAGAUUACCCAUCUAUUGCAAUAGAUUACCCAUCUGUUGCACCAGUUGCAGUUGACGGGUAAUUUGUUGCAACAGACACCCAUCUAUCGAAACAGAUGGAACAUUUGUUUCAAUAUCUUUCUUUGAGGCAAAUUAUUUUAGUUGAAAUAAAAUGUACUGCAUCAUUUGGAGGGUUAAAUAGAUCAGCCUCCUAUUCGUAAAUAUUUUUUUGCUGCCCUUUGCAGCUGCCAACCAUCUAAGGAUCCUUGGAUGAGAAACCUUAUUCGGGUAAUCCUUGAACUAUUUUCGGAAUGGAGGAAUGGCUUCACAUGCCCAAGCCUAAAAAAUAUAAACAGGAAGAAAGCAAAAAGAAGUCAUAAUAUAACUAUAUUCAAUAUAAAUUAAUGGAUGAAUAAAAGUAGUGAUCAACUUUACCAUGAAAGCCCAAGGAAAGCCGUAUAAUGUGAUUUUCCUUAUGAGUAGCUUUGACAGUAAAUAUUGUACAGUCAAGUAGUAGCUGUCAUAUUCCUAGGGAUAAUCAUUGAACUUCUCAAAAUCAUCAGCAAGUACCAACAAAUCAUCUUCAAUGACUUUCCUGAUAUUUCUUGCCAAUAAAACGGAAUGGACAAACCAAACUAAGCAUAAUUUCUCCCUGUAAUGCUUUGGUAUGUCUUUAUCCUCGAGAUCUGCCAUCAAAUCCUCCGCUUUGUAGAUACUACAUCCAACAAUGCCCAACAACCCAUCUUUUUUCCCUUAUAUUUGUUGGACCGUUUGUGGGGCGUUUUCUUGAUGAGAGGUUCUUUUGGACAAUUGCAUCUCAAACUCGUCACUAUGGCAAACUCUUUCAACCCAAAACAAAUCGACAUGCCAUAGUAGUGGAUCCAGAUUUCAUCCAUCUUUAUUUUUCCCUUCUUCGGAUCUUUAUCAUCCCCCACGUAUUUGAUCCCGCGCUUGAGAAGACCAUAUACUAUGCUCAUUGGGAAAUGGAGAGUACAGUCCUCAGGCAACUCAAGAAAGUAUUCAAAGCAGCUCUUGUUAAAAAGUUCGUCUAAGUUUUCAUUCUUCAUACUACUCCUAAAUUCAUCAAAAUGUUUCCCCAAUUGACAUUUAAGUACAAGAUCACCAGUUACUUUGUUAGGGCUAUCCAUCGGCAUCGCAACUCGAAACCUAUCGAUACUAAUAUUUUUGACAGGAUAAUGCUGGGAUUUCAAUAUUAAUUCAUGCCAAAUUAGGGAGAAGGAGUUAUCACUAUCCUCAGCUUCAUUUUUCCCUGACUGAGAUUGUUUAGGAAGUUCCUCUGAAUCUAUCUGUACUCUAGCCAUUUUUGUUGGGUGGUCAGAAUUUGAUCCACUUUCAGUUUUUUUUUCUUUUGGGAGACAUUUUUUAACUACAAACAAUAGAAAAAUAAAAAAAUACAUUGCAUUUAAUGUCUGCAUAAUUUUUUAAAAAAAGGUAAGGAAAAUUUCAAUAAAUUAUUCUAUGCCACAUUACAAAAAAAUUCUCCAACGGAUAACCCAUCAGUUGGAACAGAUGGGGAAUCAAUUUGAAGACCUAUUUAAUAUCUCCCAAAAGAUCUUCCACCUGUUGCAACAGAUGGACCACCAACACCACAACCAAUGCCACCACCAAUGCCAUUAAGACCACCACCAAUGCCACCAAUACCAACACUAAGACAACCGACACCAUCACCAAAAACACAAAUAUCGACACCAACAACAACAUCUGCCAACAAAACCACAAACAUCAUGCAACAAUACCACGAUAGUCAACAAAACACUGAUACAAAAACUAGGAUUUUUUUUUUGUGCUUCUUACUUUUUAGCGUCAAAACACAAAAUUGUUAACUCAUAAAAUUGUUAACUCAUUCUCAAAGAUAAUACAACAAAAAGUCUUCUUUUUUAUCAUUAACUAAAAAUCCCUAAUUUUUAGAAUAAAAAACAAAUGUAGAACUCUUAUCAAACUAUGUUACCUGUGAAUAUAGAGAAAACAACAGAUACAAAUGAGAAUAAAGUAAAAAAUAACAACUAUGUGAUCGAAAAUAGGAAAAAAAUUGAUCUAUUUUGAAGGGUUGAGCAAUAUGUUGAUUAGUUGUUGACUGUAUUUUUUAGAGAGAGAGAGAAAGAGAGAGAAGAGAGAGAACAUAAGAUUUAAAAUGAGGUAAAGUUUUCCCGCAAAUAGAUGAUUUGUAUGGGUUGAUUUAUAAUUUUGAAAAAGAAAGACAAGUUUUGAAAUAGUUAAUUUGGUCCGAAUUGAUCUUUGAUCUUAAUUAAUUUUUAAAAUUGCAAAAGAUAUCGUUUUUAAAAUAUUAAGUUAAUGAUAACUCAUUUCAACUUAGAGUGAUCGAUCGACGACUCGGGUCGGGUGAACGCAAUACCAACACCAUGCAAUUACAACGACUCAAUUGAAGUUGUAGUUGACCCUAUGAGAUCAUUCAUCCCUAGUUCCACCUAAAUCAAUUUAGGUACUAUUAGUAUUAACAUUAAGUUAAUGAGAACUCAUUUCAAAUAAGAGUGAUCAAUCGACGACUCGGGUCGGGGUGAACGCAAUACCAACACCAUGCAGUUGCAAUGACUCAAUUGAAGUUGUAGUUGACCCUAUAAGCUCAUUCAUUCCUAGUUCCACCAAAAUCAAUUUAGGUACUAUUAAUCUUAACAUUAAGUUAAUGAGAACUCAUUUCAACUCAGAGUGAUUGUGUAAUGCCCUGAAUCUGGUAUCCGAAAUGUUGCACGGUGCUCAUGACCCCAAAGGACAACAAGCUAACCCAUGACUGAUAUAUGUACUUAUACACUGCAUAAUAUAACAUGAUAAUGCGGAAACAUACACUGAAAGGCCAUAAGGUUCAAUACUGAACAUAAAUGAAAUAUAUAACAUUUGUGUGGGGUAUUAGAAUACCCAAAACAAAACUAAAAAUACUAAAUUCUGAAACAUGAUAGUCUGCAUCUAGUUUGAAAGCCUCUAAUGUCUGAAUAAUUUAAAUAAGGAGUUGAUGGGACAUGUCCCUUACUAACUCCAACUAAUAAGCUAAUCAAUGAAAUAGUAAAGAAAUAAUCAUGUCCUCAAAGGAUAAGGACUCAUUUCUAACUUUGACUGCUGAAACUGAGGUGUACUGUUGGUCUGGAGCUCGUGUCUCUGAACCUAUGGUGUAACAUAAGAAGAAAGCACCACAGCACAAAUGCGUCAGUAUAAUAAAAUGUACUGAGUAUACAUGUGAGGUAGGCUAUAUGCAAGGGUUCACAUGCAUGAUUAAUGCUAACUGACUAUCUAACAUGAACGUGAGAGUGCAUGCAUAAAUACGUAACUGUAACUACAACGUGAUAACAUGAUUACUGAAUCUGAAUACUGAUAAUAUGACAUGUUAAUAAUUAAUAUAACUGAUAACAUGAAAGACUGUAUCUGAAUAUAACUGAUAAUAUGGGUAACUAUAUCUAACAGUCCUGAAUCUGAUGGAACUAUUUGAGUUUCGUACUGUAUCUAAGUUGAUUGUAUCUGACAUUCCUGAAUUCUGUAGAACUAUCUGAGUUCUAUUAUUGAGACUGAUUGACUGUAUCUAAUAGUCCUAAAUUCUGUAAUUGAAACUGUAGGAAGUAGUGAUUUAACAUGUCCCUGAUACACCAUUAUGGCUGAGUUGGGGUCCAAUCUGUAAUUCCAAUUAGAAGGGUAUCAAUACCGCGCCACUGGUAAGGACAAGUUAUGGGUGACCCUCAUCUGAUAGUGUCCCCUAUACAAGAAUGGUGGGCCCCUUAUCUGACAGUGCUUAUCCACCUCAUCAACCCUUAUCCGAUAGUGUUGAUAUCUUAACCUAUGCUGGCUACAUAGUUCUGGAAUGUAAGGAUGACUACUAAGGAUCACACCCUCAUCUGAUAGUGUGUGUCCCCAUCCUUAGGUUUACUCAGUUCUAAUUUCUACUCCCAUUUGAAUAGACACUGAACAUGAUUUAACUGAACUGAACAUGGGCUGAAUUACUGAAUUUCGUUGACUGACAGAAUACUACUGAUAUUUGACAACUGGCUGAGUUCAUGAGAUCAUAGAGAUUUCCUGAGUCAUAAAACUGUCUGAAGUCUAAGAAUUCAUAGCUUGACUGAGAGUAUCGUGAAAAUAUGACAUGUCUCUAGGAACAUAGCUAAUGUUUUGGGUACAAGUACCCCCAAGACUCGAUAGAAGGAAACUGACAAACCAUGAUUUACUUGAACACAUGACUGACAUCAUAAUUCAUAAUACAUUCAUUGAAGUAUUUCGUCAAACAUAUGAAAGGCAUAAACUUGUACAUACAUGGGGAUCUUAUGACAUCAUGCUAGUUAAAAAUGUUUCCUUCAUUUAGGCAUUAAAUCAAACAUAUUGCAGGCAUAGUACAUGUAACCAUCAUUGUAUAACAAUUAAACAUCAUGGUUCACUUCUGAUUUCAUCAUUCAAGGGUAAAAUCAUAGGGUUGUAUGAAUCUAUAUCUAUAAUAAUUGAACCCACAUAGAAAUUAUCACCCAACAUGGAGUAGAAUUCAAUUUCUUAUUUAUUAACAUGAACAAGAACAGCCCAAUCAUGAAAUUCAUAAAGAAGAUUCAUAACUUGAAUUUAGAAAAGGGAUUUUUGGACUUCAUGAACGAAAGAAGUCCAUGAAUGAAUACUAUGUAUACCUGGGUAAAGAUUCUUAAUGUUCUUGAACUUGAAGAAUUGGACUUCCCUUAGUCCUUGAAGAAGAUUGGAUUUUGUUCUUAGAGAUUUAUGUUAGAAAGAAACCCAAAUAUUUGUUGUGAGAUAAUUAUGAACACAAUAGCUGAAAUCGGAUAUAAUUAAGUAUAUAUAGGCGAGUGGUAAAUGACCAAAAUACCCCUACUUAAAUGACUUAAAAUAGCUGAGCGAGUUAUCCAACGGUGGGGUGCGACGGUCCAUCGCUGGAUAGAUGAUCGAUCAGACAUCUCCGUCAAAUUGAGACAAAACUGGGACUCACUACCAUAGAGCGACGGUGUGGUGUGAUGGUCCAUCGCUGGGUCGACGAUCCAUCGAACAUUGCCGUCGUACUUUUCUAGAAAACUGAUUCACUGCUUCAAUGCGACAGUCAUGCCCGACGAUCCAUCGCUUGUCCGAUGGUCCGUCGCCUGCACCGUCGUACUUGGGUUGUUUUUCUGCCUUUUGUAUUUCAGCCAUAACUUCCUCAUCUGACACCAGAUUUUGAUGAAGUUAGUAUCGAUGGAAAGCUCAUUCAAUUUCUCAUGUGAUAGAAAGUGAAAAUCUUAAAAAUACCACAUCUACAAGAAUGAAUUUAUAAUUCAAAGCAAGUUCUAACAUCCUUGAGAUAAUUUCAAGCUAAGAAAAAACACAGGUAUUAAAGAUUGAUCGGCAACUCGGGUCGGGAUGAACGCAAUACCAAUACCAUGUAAUUUCAAUGACUCAAUUGAAGUUGUAGUUGACCCUAUAAACUCAUUCAUUCCUAUUUCCACCUAAUUCAAUUUAGGUACUAUUAAUAUUAACAUUAAGUUAAUGAGAACUCAUUUCAACUCUGAGUGAUCGAUCGACGACUCAGGUUGGAAUGAACGCAAUACCAACACCAUGUAAUUGCAACGACUCAAUUGAAGUUGUUAUUGACCCUAUGAACUCAUUCAUCCCUAGUUUCACCUAAUUCAAUUUAGGUACUAUUAAUAUUAAUAUUAAGUUAAUGAGAACUUAUUUCAACUCAGAGUGAUCAAUUGAUGACUCAGGUCGAAAUGAAUGCAAUACCAACACCAUACAAUUGCAACAACCCAAUUAAAGUUGUAGUUGACCCUAUGAGCUCAUUCAUCCCUAGUUCCACCUAAAUCAAUUUAGGUACUAUCAAUCAAAGUUAAUGAGAACUCAUUUCAACUCAGAGUGAUUGAUCGAUGACUCAGAUCGGGAUGAACGUAAUACCAACACCAUGUAAUUUCAAUGACUCAAUUGAAGUUACAGUUGACCCUUUGAGCUCACUCACCCCUAGUUCCACCUAAAUUAAUUUAGGUACUAUUAAUCUUAACAUUAAGAUAAUGAGAACUCAUUCAUCCCUAGUUUCACCUAAAUUGAUUUAGGUACUAGCUUAACAUUAAGUUAAUGAGAAUCUUUUCAACUCAGAGUGAUUGAUCGAUGACUCGGGUCGGGAUGAAUACAAUACCAAUACCAUCCAAUCGGAAAGACUCAAUUAAAGUUGUAGUUGACCCUAUGAACUCAUUCAUUCAUCCCUCGUUUCACCUGAAUCAAUUGCAAUAAAAUCUUUUGGACCAAACGACUGAGCUGUUGGAAAUUUCUAAUAGAUAUUCAUAUUCCUUGCAACAGAUGACAUAUCUAAUUUAAUUAUCAGGUAGAUAUUUGCAUCUUUUGUGACAGAUGACUGAGCUAUUAGAAAUUUCCAAAUAGAUAUUGAUAUUUGUUGUCACAGAUGAAUGAGCUAUUGGAAUAUUUAAACAGAUAUUGAUAUCUAUUAUGAUAGAUGACAUAUCUGAUUUAAUUAUCAAAUGGACAUUUGUAUCUGUGAUCUGUUUAGCUUUUUAAACAGAUAUUUGUAUCUGUUGUAAUAAAUUACUAUGUUGUUGGGAUUUUUAUACAGAUAUUGCUAUUUGUUGCAACAGAUGACAUAUCUGUUUAAAAUAUUUUCUUUCUUUUAAUUUUAAAGCGACCUUCUGUCCGAGUAGAUAAAGUAGUACUACAAAAUGUAGUAAAAAAUAAAGAGUCUCGAGUUUCUUGGAUAACUCAAAAAUGAAUUCAUUGAGUACUCUUAUCUUGUCUUUUUUAUGUCACUAGUAUUCCUCGUUCCCAUCAAAUUAUUAAUGAAUAUUAAUUAUAUUAAUUAAUAAAUAUUGAAACCCAAGUCUACGUACACAAUACAUCUAGAAUUAUCUCAUCACUCCUUCAGCUUCAGCCCUAAAUUUAUUUUAUUCAUCUCUCAUCUUUUUCUUUCUCUUCUCUUUAGGGUUAUCACAGCCUUUUUUCUCUCUUUUAUUUUCUCAUUCUCAUAAAGAUCCUUUCGAAUCUAAACCAAUUCAUAUCUUUCCUCAACUGAAAUUUUUGUUUUGAUCCCCUUUUGACAUUAAGGUAUGGUUUACUAUUGCUCUUUCUUUCUCGUCUUCUUCUUUGCAAGUUAUUUUCAUCUAUUUUUUUAUUUAAUUAUCAUUUACCCAUAUUUAUUUUUAAAAAUUAAAGGAACUUUUAAGUGUUGAAUAAAUGAACCAAGAAUUUUUAUUACAAUAUGCGAAAAAAGUAUUCUGUUGGGAGAAGUUUAAAAGCUUUGUUGGCAGUAUCAUUUUUUUGUAUGUAUUUUGUUUGUUUCUUUAUUGUUUAUGAUGUUAUUGAUGUUGUUGGUGGGGUUGGCAUUGUUGGAACUUGUGGUGUGGUGUUGUUGAUGGUGUUGGAACAAAGAAUAUUGCUUCUUUAUUGUUGAUGGUGUUGGAACAAAUAGUUGAUUUUUUUUAUUUGUUGUUUCUUUGUAGUUUAUGUUGUUAUUGAUAUUGCAACAGACGGAGCAACUGUUGGAACAAAUCAAACCAUCAGCAAGGCUGGUUUGAUGUAUUCCAACAUACUCCACAUCUAUUGCAAUAGACUCCACAUCUAUUGUAUCAGACUCUAUAUUUGUUACAUCAGACUCCAAUGUAUUGCAACAGACUCCACAUCUGAUGCAACAGACUCCACAUCUGAUGCAAUAGAAUCUACAUAUAUUGCAACAGAUAGAUAAUGUUCUUUCUGUUACAUCAAUUUUUUCCUCUUCAUAAUAGAUAUAAGGAAUUGAAAGUUGAUCAACUUUUGCCCGACCAUCACAAAAGCCUGCAGUAAAGAUGGGUUAGGAGGAAUAAGUUGCAUGCAGAUGGAACCACUUCAUAUGUGGGAGGUAUGUAUUACUGAUAAUGUUAUCGUGGAAACACACAUAGUACAUUGAUUUUGUGAAUGUUGUUUUUAUCAAUUUUCAUAGAUCAUUCAAACAAGAUAUCUGCAAUUUUACAGUUAAGUUUGGUAGGUCCGAACUGAUAAGGCUGAGGGACCAUGAAUAUGACUCUGAUUCCUUGUUAAGAUUUAAUGUCGAUUGUUUCUCAAGUUUAUGUGUCAUGCAUUGUGAAGGGAUCUAGUUUUGAUGUCACUGUAAAGAGAUUCAAUAGUAAUUGGACUAACUUUUAGGGUGCAUUGGACUCUAAGAAGGCCUUUGAAGCCUAGCACUGCAUCUAACAAGAAUGGUAAACCAAUAUAGUUAUUGCCCUAGCCUAAAUUUAUAUGGUUGGGUUACUCAAGGUGAUGAUUAUAUGCCAGAAUGGACAGUAGGAAAAUGCCUUUGAGAAAAAAUGGGUGGUUGAUGAAAGACUAUAUCAUCUGAGAGCUAAUUGAGGAGGAUACAUAGGGUAGAAAGUAUCUUCUAGAGAAUCUAGCUGAUGAAACUAUCUUAAAACAUGAGAAAUAUGUAUCAAGUGCAAAUAUGAAAUUGUAUCUGGUAAUGAAAAAUCCGUCUGUUGUUUCUCUAAGAGAAAAAUAAUGCAGAUGGUAACUUUCUUAGGGAGCUGCGACUAGGUAGCAUGGUCGGGAUUAUCACCUAGAUAGAAAAUAGUAGAAGACCAAGAGAGCAGUCUUACGGGCAUCGAUGGUUGAAAUAAUGUAUAGUAAGUCUAGAAAACUUGUGCCAAUAGCAACUGUAGUUAAAGUAAGGAAUCUAAGCGAAGGAGGCAAUUUCUGAAUUUUAAAUUACAUCUCAUGCCUUCUUGUUUAUGGUUCCGAUUAGGUCCACUUCUAUUUACCUGAUCGGAACCACAAACAACAUUAAAAGGCAAAUUGAGUAUCAAUACUUCCUUAGCAAUAUGGUUAUGAUUGAUUGAGUUUUAUAGCCUUAGCAUGCUUUCAACAUAUCUUGGAGAAGAUUGAAGGCUUGCUCUAGUAUGUGAAUUUCGAUAAUUUUCAACCUUGCCUCCAACUUGCUAAUUUGGUAUUCAAGCUUGUCGUUGUCGUCUUUGAAUUCGGUAUAGAUUUCUUGGUCUCUUAUGAACUUGAUCAGGAACACCAUUUUCGAAGUUAUGUCAUUCUAGAAUCCCUUUAAAACACUUUCUUUAGAAGCCUUAAAGGAUACAUAUAGGGUCAUUGUGUAUGUUUUUAGGUCAAAAUGUGUUGAUACACACUCAAGAUGUGGUCCCAACCAUCAAACAACUCACUUUUGUCGAGCGUUUCUCAAUGCAUCUUUCCCAACCAACCUUCAAGGAAUUUGAUAAAUUAAUAAGCAAGGAGUUACGUAACAUUUGAUCUAAACCGACUCUACCAAGCCUAUCAAACGUUACGUAACUCCAGGCUCAUUACCCUAUCAAAAAACUUUGCUCAAGUUAGUCGACAAAUCAAAUAAGCUCAAUCUAUCAGUCUUUCUGUUGAUCUCUCUUCUCCAAUAUAGAUGACAAGAUAUUCGCCAUGCAAAAUUCUACACCAUAGCCAGAAAUGCUUAUCAGGGCGCAAGUCUUCAGAAGUCAUCAACAAUAAUCUCUCAAUAUCAAGUGAUAUUGAGAGAUUCCUAGUCAUACCUUCCUAGGACUUUUUCUACGGCAAGAAUUUAUGUUGAUGACAAGAUAUCUGCCAUGGAAAAUUCUACACCGUCAGCAGAAAUUCAUGCCAGAGCAAAAAUCUUCACAAGGCAUUAUUAAUAAUCUCUCAACAUCAAGGAAGUAUUGUACGAAAGUCUUUAGAAAACAUUCAAAAAUGAGGAAGCUUUCAGCAAUGACUACACAUAAUUACCAUCAACAACCUCACCAGAUUCACUCUUAAUUCAAAAGAAAAGGUAGAAAUAUUUUUAUUUGCAUUUGUAUGUUAACAAACCAGACAAAGAUGAACUAAAUCUAGCAUACUAUAUUUAGUUCAUCUUUAUUUGGUUUGUUAAAUAAAUAACAUGCGAAUGCAAAUGAAAAUAUUUUUGCCUUUAAUUUUGAACGAGGAGAGAAUCUAGUGAGGUUGUUGAUGUCAUAAUUAUGUGUAGUCAUUGCUAAAAACUUUCUUAUUUUUGAAUGUCUUCUGAAGACUUUCGUACAAGAAUUCCUUGAUAUUGAGAGAUUACUAAUAAUGUCUUCUAAAGACUUUUGCUCUGGCAAGAUUUCUACUAAUGGUGUAGACUUUUGCAUGGUAGAUAUCUUGUCAUCAGUAGAAAUUCUUGCCUUAGAAAAAGUCCUGGGAAGGCAUGACUAGGAAUCUCUCAGUAUCACUUGAUAUUGAGAGAUUACUGUUGAUGCCUUCUGAAGACCUGUGCCCUGAUAAGUAUUUCUGGCGACGGUGUAGACUUUUGCAUGGCGGAUAUCUUGUCAUUUAUAUUGGAAAAGAGUGAUCAGUAGAAAGGCUGAGAGAUUGAGCUUGUUUGGUUUUUCCACUAACUCGAGCAAAUUGUUUUGAUAGGGUAAUGAUCCUGGAGUUACGUAAUGUUUGAUAGGCUUGGUAGAGUUGGUUUAUAUCAAACCUUACGUAACUCCUUGCUUAUUAAUGUAUCAAAUCCUUUGAAGAUUGGUUGAGCAAGCUGCAUUGAGCAACGCUCGAUAAAAGUGAGUUGUUCAAUAGUUGGGACCACAUCUUAAGUGUGCAUCAACACAUUUUGACCUAAAACAAACACAGCGACCCUCCAUGUAUCCUUUAAGGAUUCUGAAGAAAAUGUACUGAAGGCCUACUUCAAUGCCAUAAUUUUGAAGGUAGUGUUCCUGAUCGAGCUCACAAGAGACCAGGAACUCUAUACCAACUACAAAGACAGCAACGACAAGCUUGGUAAGAUGGAGGCAAACUUGAAAAUUAUCGGGAUUCACAUACUACAGCAAGCCUCUGAUCUUCUCCAAGAAAUGUUGAAAGCAUGCUAAGACAAGAAAACAUAAUCAAUUAAUCCAUAUUACUAAGGAAGUAAUAAUACUUGAUUUGCCUUUCAAUCUCGUUUUUGGUUCCGAUCAGGUCAGUAGCAGUGGACCUAAUCAAAACUACAAACAAGAAGGCGUGGGAUGCAAUUUAGAAUUUAGAAAUUGCCGCCUUCACUUAGAUUCCUUACUUUAACUGCAGUUGUUGUUGGCGCAAGUUUUCUAGACUUACUGUACAUCAUUUCAACCCUCGAUGCCCAUAAGGCUGCUUUCUUGGUCUUCUGCUAUUUUCUAUCUAGGUGAUAAUUCUGACCAUGCUACCUAGUCCCAUAUCAAAGUGUUCAUCUGCAUAAAUUUUCUUUCAAAGAGACAACAAACGAAUAUACAUUACCAGAUACACUUUCAUAUUUGCACUUGAUUCAGAUUUCUUAUGUUUUAAGAUUAUUUCAUCGGUCAGAUUCACUAGAAGUUACUUUCUACCCUAUGUGUCUUCUUCAAUUAGCUCUCAAAUGAUAUAGUCUUUCAUCAACUCCCCUUUCCCUCGUAGGCAUUCUCUUUCAUUUUCUUCUGGCAUAUAAUCAUCUUUUCGAUCAACCCUUUCAUAUAAAUUUGGGCCAAGGGAAUUUCUAUUGGUUUUUUGUUCUUGUUUAAUGCAGUGCGAGACUUCGAAGCCCUUCUUAAAUUCUAAUGCACACUUAAAGUUAAGUCCAAUCGCUAUUGGAUCUCUGCAAUGACACCAAAUAUUGAUCCUUUCACAAAACUUGACACACAUAAACACGAGCAACAAUUAUCAGUAAUUCAUAACAAGGUAUCUGCACCAUCUUCCUGGGGCCCUCAGCCUUAUCAAUUCGAACCCAUCAAACUUAACUAUACAAUGCAGGAUCUUGGUUGAAUGAUCAGUGCCUAAUCGGUUAAAAACUGCAAUCACAAAAAUACUGUACUUUGUUGUGUUGUCCCGGUGACCUUAUCAGCAAUACUUACUUAACUCCCACACAUAUGAUAGUGAAUCCAUCUGCAUGCACCUUAUUUUUCCUAGCCCAUCUAUGGCUUAAAUUAAAUAAACAGAUGACUAGCAAGUGGCAAUAGAUGCCACAUCUGUUUAAAUUGUGAAACAAUUGCAGACAUCUAUUAUAACAGAUGAUCAAUCUAUUGCAACAUAUGACAUAUCUGUUGGAAAAGCAAACGGAUAUCUCCAUCUGUUGCAACAGAUUGUCAAUAUGUUGUAAGUUAUCUGACAGAUAGAAUAUAUUUUGCAACAGAUUACCCAUCUGUUAGAUUUAUUUUAAAGCAAUUUUUUUCUUUCCGAAAUACAAUAAAAGAUAAAAUGUUGUAUUUAGAUCCAUUUUUUUAAUUUAUAUAUUUGAAAAGUCACCAGUUUUAUUUAAUUAAGGGAUAUGAACAGUCGUGAAUUUUUAUUUGACUAACCUCUUUCAAUUCAAUCAUUUAUAAAUAGGUCCCUCCGGCCUACUUACUCACUCUCACUCGUUCAUUCUACUACACUUACAAUAAAAAUAUGGCUGAUCCAGAUUCAUACAAGAAGAUUCAUAUCGAGUCCUUACGGGAACUUCAAAGGCAGUUUGAUGAACUCCAGAGGAAUUUGGCCGACUUCGGAGCAAGGCCGAGGAGGGCUCUGCUGCUGCCGGCAUAAAAUUGUUCGGUUGACAAUAAUAAUGUAAUAAUAAUAAUAAUAAUAAUAAUAAUAAUAAUAGAAAUGAUAAUAAUAAUAGUAGCAAUAAUAAUUAGGCUAUGUUUUUUCUUUUAGCGUGUGUAUUUUCCUUUUUAUAUCGGAUCUACCUAAGGGAUUCAAAAAUCUAUGUUUGGUUUGGUCGACUUUGAAUUUUUAAUUCUUAUUUAAUAUUUAAUUAUCAUUCUAUUUAUUCCUUAUUCUCAACCUGACGAUGGUUGGAGGUAGGGAUUGAGCAUUUGUGGCAACAGAGUUUAAUCUGAUGCGACAGAUGGAUCAUAUGUUGCAACAGGCGAUUAUUAAUAAAAAAAAAGGUUUAUUGUUGAGAGGGUGGUGAAAAGUCAUGAUUCUCCUAUUAUUUAAUAUGAAAAAUAAUUUUUAAAUAAAUAACAAGGAACCAAAUGACAUACACAAUUUAUAACUGUAAAAGAAAUAUUAUUUAAUACAAAAAAGUCACAACAUUAGAUUAAUUAAGUUAUAUGAUGAUUGUUUAUUAAGAAAAAGGUGAACAGUUGUAACCGUGACUUUUUGUCUAAACACAUUAAACAAACAAACAAUGUUGCCGAUGCAUCAAAUUCCCCAUUUGUUGCGACUAAUGAAUCAGCUAUUAGAAAAAAUCAAAAAAACUUCUAAAAUAGAUGGUCGAUUUGUUACAACAGAUGGUAUAUUUGUUGCAACAUAUGUGUUAUUUGAUACAACAAAUAUACAAUUUGUUGUCAUAACUCAAUAAAAAUGGUUAUUAUUUUAUUAAAGAAACGGUUAUUGAAAAGGUGUCUUCAAUUUUUAAAUUGAGAAAAAGGUUAUUUAAAUUUAAGAACUAAUUAAUAAUAAUAAGUUGAAAAGUCAUGGCUUGUCACAAUAAUAAAAAACUCACCAACUUGAUUUAAUUAAGUCAUUUCUUUUCAUAGAAAACAAUAAGGAAAUAAAUGAUAAACACAAUUUAAACCGUAAAAAAAUGGUUAUUUAAUUUAAAUAAUUGGUGUUAAUAUUAAAUAGGCGUUAUUUCUUUUCACAAAAAAUAUUUUUAUUUUAAAAUCUAUUUUAUUAUUUUAUAUAAUAAAAAAGUUAGAAAAUUUGGAUUAAUGAUAUGAUGAUAAUUUAUAAAAAAAAAAAAAAAGAUAGAUUAUAUAUUGCAAUAGAUAGAUUAUCUGAUGCGACAGGUUCUAUAUUUGUUGCAACAGAUGAUAUAUCUGUUGUCACAGAUGAAUUAUCUGAUGCAACAGGUAUAGAAUCUGUUGUCAUAACUUAAUAAAAACGGUUUCUGAAAAGAACUAAUUAUUAAUAAUAAUAAGCUGAAAAGUCAUGACUUAUCACAAUAUUGCUUAAUUUAAUUAAGUCAUAAUUUUUUACAGUAAUCAAGAAUGUCAUUAAUAAAUGGAGGUGAACAAUUGCGCCUUUAAAUCUACUUUAUUAAUUUAUAUAAUAAAAAAGUCAAAAAUUUUAGAUUAAUUAGAUUAUAUGUUGCAAUAGAUAUAUUAUCUGAUGCAACAAGUUUAUUUGUUGCAACAGAUGAUAUAUCUGUUGUCACAUAUGAGUUAUCUGAUGCAACAGAUAUAGAAUCUGUUAUCAUAACUCAAUAAAAACGGUUCUUGAAAAGAACUAAUUAAUAAUAAUAAUCUGAAAAGUCAUGACUGAUACAAUAUUACUUAAUUUAAUUAAGUCAUAACUUUUCACAUUAAUGAAAAAUGUCAUUAAUAAAUAGAGGUGAACAGUUGCGCCGUUUUGCCUAACACAUUCAAGUUCAAUCCUCUAUAAAUAGGUUCCUCCUUAUUUAAUCAUUCAUUCUACUACACUCUAUUUAUUCCUUACUCUUGUUACACCUUAGACUACUUUCUCUUCAAGGACUUGAUAGCUUUUUCCAGUCUCUGGUAAGUUUUUUUCUUGCUUUUUGUAUAAAUACACAUUGUAUUACAUGAGAAACGAAUUCUUUCUUUACUUUUUUUUUCUUUUUAUGUGUUUUGUCAAUUUAUGCGUGUUCUAGAUAUGGCUGAUCCAGUGUGGAUGUCACUAUUUUACGAGACGCCAUGCAGGAACUGGUGAAGGAGGUUCAUAACCUACAGUGGGAGUUGACCGCCGUCAGAGUAAGGAUGUUGUAGGAGAUCCGCAGGCUUGGGAGGGUGCUGCUGCUGCCGGUUUAAGAUUGGCCGGCUGGCCAUAAAAAUAAUAAUGAUAAUGAUGAUAAUAAUAAUUAAGAUUAUUGUUUUCUUUUACCUAUGCAUUUUUAUUUUUAUUUUGUUUAAUAAAAAUUUUAUGUUUGAUUCACUUUGACUUUUUAAUUCUUAUUUAAUUUUCAUUCUAUCUAUUUCUUCUUUUCAACAAACAUGUCUACAAUUAAGGAAUAAUUUGAAUCCAGUAUCAAUAGCAAGAGAUCAACAUAUGAGUUAUCUGUUGGGUUUGUGACAAGAGUUGUAUUGUGUUGUUCGGAACAAAUCAUUCAUCUAUUACAACAGAAUAAUUAUCUGUUGCAACAGAUAAAUAUUCUUUUGCAACGGAUAUAUAUUUUGUUGCAACAGAUUACUUGUCUAUUAGAACAGAUAACUAAUCUGGUGCAACAGAUUAUUUAUCUGUUGGAACAGAUUACUAAUCUGUUGGAACAGAUUACUAAUCUGGUGCAACAGAUUAAUUGUCUGUUUGAACAAAUUACUAAUCUGUUGCAACAAAAUAUCCAUCUAUUCGAUUCAUAUUACGGGCACCUAGAACCAUAAACAUGAAUCUAACAUGAGUCUUUUGUUGCAACAGAAUAUUUAUAUGGUGCCACAGAUGAUGGAUCUGUUUAAACAGAUUUAUCUUAUGUUGCAUUCAUGUUCGUUGCUUGCUAUUGUUGAAAAAAGAGCACGGUAGCAAUUACCCGGAUGACAAAUUCAACUAAAAAGUAUAAUUUGACUUACCAAAGUCUCCUCUCAAUUAAAUGUCAACGUUGAAAGUGAUGUACGAAACAAAAUUUGACCUAAAAAAUUGGUCAAAGAGCAGUAGUUGCGGUAAUAACAACAACAAUAAUGGUCAAUAAGAAGAAUAUGAAAAUGAUAAUGAAGUAUAAGAGGAUGAUAAUGAAUCAGAAGAAGAUGAAUAAAGCAGCAACAACAAUGAACAACAAAUAUCGCGAAGAGAGAAAAAUAACAACGGAUGAGAAGAUAGAAAAAUGCACCUUUUUUCUCUUCGUUUCCCGUUAUAUUAACUAACAUUUGAAUCAAAGUAUAAAUUUACAAAUUUAUGGGUUAUUUUAAAAAUUUUCAAACUUUCUUAAUCCAUAAUUAAGUAAUUGUCACCUCCACUCAACUAUUAAAACUUGUGUCACCUACACCUCAUUUUAAAAUAUUUUUGUCACUUACAGCCCAAAGCCCCUACCUAGUAAGUUGGACAAUCAAAAUGUUUUAAGUUUGGAAAAUCAAAAUGAGACAGAGAGUAUUACGUAAAGUUCAACUACUCUUAAUUGUAAUUAAAAAUAAUUUGAUAAUUCUACUGUUAAAAUGAAAUAUGUACAAUGAUAAUAAUGUGGAAUUUCAAUUUUAACAACAUUGACGAUUUUUUUUGUGUGCUCACAAGGUAAACCCCACCAGCAAGGUAAAACCCGUUCUCCAAUGUAAUCGCCCACAAACCUAUUGUACUAGACAAACCCGUGCAACAAGCUCAGUACAGAAAGCAUGAAGUAUUUCAUUCAGUGGCGGAGCAAAGUAUAUGACGAAGAGUGUGCAAAUUUCCUUCUCAGUUUCAUUUAGAGUGCAAAAUUAAAUUCACACUCAGAAAGCUAACAUUUCGUCCAUAUGCAGAACAUGAUUUUCCGACAAAGAUUGUGCACUUGACCACCCUUUUAUAUAGGUGGCUCCGCCCAUGUGUUUCAAAACUUAAGACUCCUCAUUUGGGCGAUUCCUAGCUCAACCAACUCGGCCACCCUUGAGGAUUCACAUUUAAGACUUUCCUCAAAAGGGAGCCUUGGAGUAACUGACAAAAUUACUAUCAUGUGACCAGGAGGUCACAAAUUCAAGCCUUGGAAACAACUCCUUACAGAAAUGUAAGGUGAUGCUGCAUACAAAAGAUCCGUGUAUCGAACCCUUCUCCAGAUCCUGCGUAUAGCGGGAGCUAAGUGCACCAAGCUGCCCUUUCAUGUCUUGUAUCCUUAUUCCAUACACAAUAAAUCAGUACUUGAGUAGAGUAAUAAUGUGACACUGCAUGAUAUUAGUAUUCAUUUAUUUAUUAUUAACAAGAAGAUAACAAGAACUUGUACAAACUCAAAAGUUGAUUGCACAUUACAAGAACCAACAUACGUUAUAGUCUCUAAUUAAAAUGCAGUGACCAGAAUUCAACGACUAUGCCGGAAGGCGAACCAUCAUUUGACCUUGCAUAACACUGCAAAUCAAAGAAAUACAGAUGUUUUAGACGAGUUUAACUUUUAUACACCGACCAUAACCAUAACGUUACCUAAACGGUAGCUAUGAGUAAUCAUUCAUAAAAAAAAAACGGAAUUAGUACUCUGAAAACAAGGCAGGUUACGUGCUAUAACAUGUUAAAACAUACUGAUAGUAGAAUUACCUCUUUACGUAAUAAUAACAGAAAUCGGCCAAAACGAAUGUUUGAACAAUUUCUGCCAAGAUGAUCACUGGUAUCCACAAGAAGCCCCCUCCACUCAAAGACAGAUACGAACCAGAUGUAUCAUAUACCUGCAUAUGAAUACACUCGGAGACUAUAAGUAUUGACGGAUUCAGAAUUUUACGUCUAUGAAUAAGUAGUGUCAUUAUACUCACAAACACGACAAUAGAUGCCAACAAAGUACUUAAGUUGCAUAUUUUCGAAUUUUCUUCAUGCACACACGCACGCACACAUACAUUUUGUGAAAGCCAUGAGUGCAACUGGAGCUCUAGCAUGCGGAAGUUUACAAAUAGAGUCGAAGCCGGAACUUUUCGUCAAUGAAAAUGAAGUGUCAUCGAACUCGCUACUUGCAACAAUUAGUGCGAACAAAGUUUUUUUUUUUAAGAAAAUUGUUCAUAUACACACACAAUCGCUUACACAUUGCACGCGCGCGCGCGCACACACGUUAUUGUUUACAAAAACAGUGAGUGCAACUACAGUCCAACAUUCUGAGCCAUUUAUGCAACCCUCUUCUCCGCCGUAAGUUUGGAAUCCAAUCUCAAGCGACGACAGGUUUGGGGAGGCAAAACUUGAACAAAUUGUUGUGUAUUUUGUUAUAUCAAAGAGAUCUUUUCAAUUCGAUUUGACUUGGGGCGUCAAGGACCCUCUAAUAGAAACCUCGUCUUUUUUUCAAAAGUUAUAAACUACGUACAAGAUAACACUCCAAAACUAACCUUAAUGAUCCAAUGAGCACAACUGAAGAAUCUUGAAACGCCCAACGCAAACACAUAAAGAGCUGUGAAUGGCUCAAUAAUCUGAAAUACAAGAAUAGGAAACAAUAUUGGUACUUCAUGCAGAAAACUAGGAAUACAUGAACUCAAACGUUUUUUUUCUUUUCUAACUGUGAGGGAAAGAACAGAUAUACAUAUAUAUGUAUGUACCUUGACAUUCUGCAUCAAGCGAAGCUGAGGCAGCACGGAGACACCUUCUAUAUACACAGCAAAAGCCCAAAGUAUACUGAUGAUAAGAUAACUCGUCCGAGGAUGGAUAAAGACGGCUAUCACCAAAGAAGGUACUAUCUGCGGAGAGAAUAGCAUGAUCCAAAAAGCAAUGUCAUUACUCAUGAAGCGAUUUCACUUGCACAUAAAUCACUUCCAACGGAUAUGUCACAACUAUCUUGCAUAAAAUCUGCUAAAAUAAAGUUAUAGCGACCAACGCAGUCAGGGGGAUCAGGGGUAGAGCUACUUGUAAUGAAGAGGCUCAAUGUAAUCCCAUUGACACCAAAAACUAUAUUGUGCAAAUAUGGUAAAAAACGAUCUUUUGUUUUGCAUUCAGAAUCUUGUUGGCAUAAUAGAAACUUGAGUAAAGCAUCUGGUACCCCCUCCUGAACUACGACCAAAACGAGGGUCCUAUCCCCCCCCCCCCCAAAAAACCAAACUCAAUUUUAGCGUAUUUUUUUCACCUUUUUGUGCUGACAUGCCACCUUUUGUCAACCUUAACCUUUUUAGCUGACGUAAGCCAUUUUAUGUAAUAAAGGUGUCACAUCAGCACAUAAGGAUGACAAAAAUAUGCUAAAAUUGAGUUCCGGGGGUAAUUGAAACCCUGUGAAGUUAAAGUGUGUCGUAGCAACUUUGGCCAUAGUUCGAGGGGUACUAGAUGCUUAUCUCUAAAAACUUCUAGCAUAGUACAAAGGUUGUUCAAGAAUUUCAAGUGUGGUAUUUUUACAUAUUUUUUAAUCCUCUUAUUGGAAUUCCUGAUUCUGCCACUAGUCACGAUUACAUUUACUUCUAUAUGCUAAAAGCUAGCGAACAAUUUAUCUCGCAAAAAUCGUCUUAAGAGAAACUCUCUCCAAGCGAUGUGCUAAUAAGUUUAGAACCAACAAGUCAAACAUUGAACGAUCUACACAAUUUCUAAGAACUUUAAACAUUGAACCAAUUAAAUCUAAAAUCCUUGAUCCGCCUCUGGAGACGACCAUACUAAUAAGCUUAGAAUGAAUAAAGGGAUCAACAGACAACAUGAGUCUUACUUCAACGACAAUUAUAAGAGAAAAAAGCUCAACGUACCACAAUAUAUUUCUUCAUGUUAUCCAAAUCUUCCAUGUAAGUUGACUUCAACUUGUACUUCAUCAUAAAUAUAAGCCAAAAUGUUGCCAGAAGAGUGACAAGGUCUAGUAUAGUAUGAAUAUCUCCUUCGAUUUGAAGACUACAAAAUAAUCUAACAGAUAAAAAUGUUGCCGUGAGCUGUUGAGUCUUCAAUGAAAGGCCUAAAAACAACAACAGCAACAGCAGAGACAUGUCAGAAGAUUGUUAACCUUAUUGUAAAGAGUUUAAGUUAUAUACACUGACGGUAUACAAAAAUUAUACUAUAUUUGAUAACUAAUUCAAAAAAAGUAUAUACUAUACACCCUUACACAAAACCAUUUUUCCAAAAUCAUAAUUUGGUCAUAUUUGCUCUUUUAUAAAUUUUUAGUAACCAAUAAUUUCUUUUUAGUUAUGACUAUAUAUAACAUAUCAAAUAAAAAACAUUUUUUACAUUUUUUAAAAAUAUUUUGACAAUAUUUUUCAUCGAUUAAUUGGGGUGGCAUAUCAAUUUUAUUUUUAAUGGACUAAAAUGAAUUGAGCUAAUAAAUGAUGGAGUCAAUAAUUCGUCCAAAAUUAUACUUUUUCCAAAAAGACUUGACCAAAUACCUCAAACCUUUUAACUCAUAAAUUGAUUAGUAGAAAAAGAAGAAAAAAGCUACAAAUCAAAUAUAAUUAUAACAAGUAUGUAGGUAAAAUUAUUACCAGAGCAAGUCUUGUGUGUGGUCAAUUUGUAGAUCAAGACCAAGAUGCCAACAAAAUGAGCAAAUUCAGCCAACACAAAGAAGUGAUUGUGUUCAUGAAUGAGUAAUUUUAGUGUGACAAGUAAAGUCAACACAGUGGAAACACCCAAGAAUGUCUUCACUUUGUUUGAUUGAUUUCUAACCCAUGUAAACAAUUUCUGUAAUGGCUUUUGAACUCCUUUCUGACCCAUUUUUUUUUUCUCACUCUACUUCUUUUUCUUCUUCAGCUUUAUGAUAUAAUCAAAUUUAGUACAAAAAAGAGAGUGGAUAAAUGUGUCAAUGUAUAAAGUGGGGUUGCCAAAGAAGACAAACAGUGUGUUUAACGUUUGGUAUGGCUAUUUUUUUAUUUUUUUAUUUUUAAGUAAAUGAAUCGAUUUCACCCCGAAUUAUAAACGAAAUUACUGAUGUACAUUAUUCUUGGAUAAAUUAAAAUCAUAUUUUUAACAAUCUUAGCAUCUACGUGGCACAUACGUGUGCCUACGUGGACCUUCAGUGUGUUGAUUCAUACAAUGUGUCAUGUAUGUGCCACAUAGGCACUAAGAUUGUCAAAAAUACAAUUUUAAUUAGUUUGGGAUGAUAAAAUUCCUUUUAAGUUGAAGUGUGUCUCAAUAAUUUCGUUUAUAAUUUAUGAUAGAAUCAGUUGCAUGAUGGUUGGGUGGUUUUUGAUCGUCCAUUCCUCUUUACUUGUUUAAUAUUAAAAAAAUAUAUUUUAAAAUAAUUAAAUUGUUGAGGUAUGGCCCUUUAAGAAAAAAAUUUAUGAUAUAAAUUGUACAUUACUUUCCACUAUUAUCUUUUUAAUUGUUAUUAAAUUACUCUCUUAAGAACCUCAUUAAAUGAAAGGGUAAAAUUAAAAGAAAUUUUCAACAUGUCUUUUGAAAAAUAAACAAUUCAUUUAUUUUGAACAUUAAAAAGUAGCUCAAUAAUUCAUUUAUUUUAAAAUAGAGAAAAUAGUUGUUUAACUUAUUUAUUCGCUUCAUUCAUCUUUAUGUAUUCGAUAGUAAAAAUAGUUAUUGAACUUAGUAGGCAUUUGAUCAUGAAAAUUAAAAUUAUUGAAGUUGAAGUUUGAAUAGUGGCAAAGUCAGUAAGCAUAGUAAUAGGAGAUUCCUACGAUGAAAAAAUAUAUUAUUAGUAUAUGGUUAAAAUAAUUUUUAUGUAUAUAUCAUAGAUAUUAAAUCUCUUGGGUGAGUUUUUCUUCAAAUUUUAAAUUAUCUUAGCAGAAAUUCUGACACCGCCUCUGAAUUUGAGUUGAAGUAAAUUGAAGUUGUGUUUGUUCAUGAAUAUAAUUGAAAUUAUUUUUAAAUUUUUGUGAGAGAAGAAAGACGAAAAAAAAGUAAAAAUAACUUUUUCAUAUUUUUAACUUUUUCAAAUUCAACUUCAAAUUAUAUUUAAAAUUUUUAUAAUCAAACAUCAAAUUAAGUUGUAUUACUCAACUUGAAAAAUCAUGAUAUAAUUUACUAAUUUGUGUCUAUUUUAAAUUCGCUUGCUAUUAAAUAAUCUUACAUUGGUUUCUCUAUAUUUAAAUGACUUACGAUUAAUAUGGGCGAUAUAAUGAACUCACCUUUUUAUUUGUUAUUUCUAAAGUGUUUAUAAAGUAUGUCUAGUUAAAUAUAGUCAAAUAAAAAUGAACAAAAUGAGUACUGUUUUUGUGUGAAAAAUAUCAUAGGGUUCGAUUCACCCAUAAUGUCUUCUUAAUUGAGUUCGUUGCACGGGAUUUACCUAGUGCGGUUUACAUUUUCUGUGUCGUUUGCGAGCUAUUGCACAGUUAGAGGUUUACCCAGUGUGCACAGAGUGUUCAUCCGAAAGGUAGAGGCUGUGGCAGAGGGUAUAGCGGCCGCAGGUUUUCCUGAAGUUUUAAAAAAUAAUAAUAAUAAAAAAAAGGACAUCUUUAAAAUGGAGCAAAUAGGAAAGUAAAACCAACCAUUCUAAUGGAGGGGGUAUUACGUUAUGAUCUUGUAAUUACAAAAAUAAAAUGAACUGAGUAGUGAAUGUUGGAUAACAAAACUUUGAGAUUGAAAAAUAAAUAAUUGAGAUAAAAAAAAUAUUACAAUAAUCGUUUUAUUGAUUUCAAUAAAUAAGUGUUACAAUCUUUAUUAAUCCUCUGAUUCGCUUUUUCAAAUAUAAAUUCAAGAAUUUCGAGCUUGAUCUUGAGCUUGAUUUGCUUGAGCUUGAUCUGAAUUAUAAGAUUCCUAUUUAUAGUGGUAGGAAGUAAAGAGUCAUGAUGAAUAUGAAUUUCUUUUGACCAAUCAGAUUCAAGUGGCAUGACGCCUUUUACGAAGUUUUGAUUUCACUAGGUAUGCUGCAUCAUUUUGACGCAUGGUAUGAUCCUAUUGGCCCCUUCACUUGACUUGGCAUGCCAUGUCAUUCGACACGUGACGCUUAUUUGGACCUCUAGAAUAUGAUGAUAUCUUGGACUUAUCAAAGUGGGCUCAUCAUUUGUAGCCCAAAUCAAUGGAGUGACCCAAUAAAAAUUAGACUUUUAUUAAAAUGAAAAGGACAAAAAUAGUCACUCAGCUAAAACAAUUGUCGUCGAGUGACCAUUGAUUUUGAAUUUUCAAAAUAUAGCCAUUUAGGCUAUUUUUUGCUACUAUCUUCAAUUUUUUUUUGCUGCAAAUAUCACAAUUCAGUGAUCUCGUUUAAACUAUCCUCUUGUUUAUCUAUAACGCCAUUACUUAACGGUUGAUUUGAAUCAUAAAGAUUUUAAACUUUGCUAGCUUCAAAACAAAAAACUAUUCUUUUAAUUGGUGUAUUUUUUCUAACAAUCAAAUUCGAUUUUAUAACAUUGUAAUUGUUGCUCUUCUUUUUUAUCAAUCAAAUACAAUAUUUGAUAUUAAAUACAUGAAUCUUUGAUACCAAAUACAAAUAUAUAUUUUAUACAAUAAUUGUAUAAAAGUGUAUCAAUGCAGUAUCAAAGUGUAUCAAUAUAGUAUAAAAGUGUAUCAAUAUGGUAUAAAAGUGUAUCAAUUGGGUAUAAAGACUACGUGCGACCGACGAACCAAAUGGCUAAAAAUUAAAAUUAAAUUGGACCGAUUGGCUCCAAUUGUCCAACUUUUAAAAUUGCUGGCCAUUUCUUUUCAAAAUGAUCAGUUCAUGUCCUUUUCUCUUAAUUAAAUUUAUACAUGUUUAGACUUAAGUAAUUAAUUUAAUUAUAUUUAUUUAAAAUUAAUAUAUUUUAAAUUUAAUAUAAUUUAAAUUUCGUACGGAUUAAAAUUUAGUUGCCUAUAGUGAAAAUAUAAAAACUAAUUUAAAAUUCCUAAUCAUUUAUGUGUCAUCAUUAUAUAGUACAUCAAAUUUAAGUUUGGGGUUGAUAGUAGGGACAAAGAUUGACGUAGCAACACCAAAGAGGAAGAGACACAUAGGAUAUGUCCAUCACUCAUUGACAAUGUGCAUUAUUGCCUAUAUAAUAAAAGGCAUGAAUUUACUUUACUUUAUUUUGCUUUACUAUAUAUAAUAAAAGGCAAUGACCAGGUACGUCUUUGACAUGCUUGCUUGUACCUUAUAUUUCAAUUGUUUUAAUCGUAAUUUUAUUAUAUAUAUUAUUUAAAUAUUAAAAUAUUUAUAAUAUUUAAUAAAAAUAUAAAAUAAUAAAUUAACUUUUAAUUUUUUAAAUUAACUUAAUAUCUUAUAUGAGACCCAUUUAUACUUUUUUCACAAAUCUUUUUAUAGUAAUUUUAUUAUGUUGCUUCUAAUUAGUUAUUAUAAAUCAUUAAAAACAUGUCUUCUUCACUGCUUCAAUCCUGAUUUUAUUUUAUUAUCCCUAAUUAAUUAUUAUGGUCACAUUAAAAAAUUAAUAAUACUUCAUAAAAUAGACAGAAAAUGAUAUGUCAACAUAAAAUAUUUAAUUGACUAUCGAAAUUAUAUUGGUGCCACAUAGACUGAUUUUUAAAAUUAUAUCAGUGUCACAUAAAUAAUAAAUUAACUUUUUAUUUUUUAAAUUAACUUGAUGUGUUAUAUAAGACACAUUUAUACGUUUUACACAAAUAUUUUUUAUAGUAAUUUUAUUAUAUCACUUCUAAUUAGUUAUUAUAAGUCAUUUAAGACAUGUCUUCUUCGUUGCUUCAAUCGUGAUUUUAUUAUAUCAACCUUAAUUAAUUAUUGUGGUCACAUUAGAAAAUUAAUAAUAUUUCAUAUAAAAUAUUUGAUUAACUAUCGAAAUUAUAUUAGUUCACAUCGUCUGAUUUUUAAAAUUGUAGCAGUGUCACUUAAAUUGAAAUUGAAGAAAAAGUAUUAAAAAUCACAAUAAUUAAAAUUAUUUUAAUAAUAAAUUAUCUAAAUUAUAUUUAUAUCACAUAAAUUGAGAUAAAAAAAUAACUAGCAUGGAUCCUUCAAUGUCUAGUAUUAAUAUAUAUACUUAGGUCCACUGUAUAUAUUUUCUUUUAAUAAGAUAAGAUAUGCUUCCAUAACAACUUCAAUUAUAAGUUGAUAUUGUUAUGAAAUAAUAAUAAAAACUCAAUGCAACAUAAUUUAGAGAAAGAAGUUAGGAGAAGUGAGAUUUUAUUUUACUUGAAAGUGAUGUACUGAUUUAGUUUUUAUUUUGGAAAAAGUUCGAAAUAUAUCUAAAUUUUGAUAAAUUUUGUUGUAACACGCCUCAAUUUUAUGGGGAUUUGAUAACCCUCUUGACUAUUUAUUGUAUUUUUGUGGCAUAUAUUUGUCCAGUUGGACCAUUACGUGAAUACACGCACACUAAACACGUAAGAUUCUAAAGUGGUUCGGCUAGACAAAUAUAUGUCACAGAAAUACGAUAAUAAAUAGUCCAGGGAAGUCAUAGGACUCCCAUAAAAUUAAAACGCGUUAUAAUAAACUUCACCAAAAUUUAAAUAUAUUUCUGACUUUUUUCCUUUUUUUCCUUUUAUUUAUAGAACACGUUUGUUGGAUUGCAAAGAACUUGUAAGAGUAAUAAUUUUUAGUAACUAUCUGCUUAAACUACUUGUAAAUUUCUUCAAAAAGCUAUAGUAGUAAUUAAAUGAACCACCACAAAUAUAAUAUACUUAUAAAUAUAUUUAUCUUAGGAAAAAAAUUCAAAAAAUAUAUUUAAAUUUUAGCGAAAUUUAUCGUAAUAUGUCUCAACUUUGCGGGUGUCCUCUGACCCCUCUCAAUUAUUUAUUACUGUAUUUUUGUGGUAUAUAUUUAUCCAGCUGGACCACUUCAAAUCUUUACGCGCUUAGUGUGAGUGUAUUCACGCAGUGAUUCACCUAGAUAAAUAUAUACCAUAAAAAUACGAUUGUAAAUAAUCGAAGAGAUUUAUAGAACCUCCACAAAAUUGAGACGUAUUACAUUUUGCUAAAAUUUAAAUAUAUUUCGAACCUUUUUUCCUUUUAUCUUACUUGCAUAAUCCAAUUUAAUCCCAAUAAAUAUUGGAUUUGGUAGUUGCAAAAGGUACUUUUUCUCUUUUAUAUAUUGGGACUUGUUUUUAUCACUUUUAUGUAGAAAUUAGUUUUUCACCUGCAAAGAUCAUGUAGUUUACCACUCACUUAAUAUAAUUUCUUCAAUUAUUGUCUUUUAUAAGCUCCUUUUUAUUUAUUUUUCUUUUCACUAUGAUAUGAUAAACUUUCACUAUAAAUAGAAUGUGAAUUGAAUUUACGAAAUUAAUAGAUCGUUUCGUCGAGAAUUAGUUAGGUAGAUAAUAGCUAUUUCGUAUUAAAUAAUUUUGAAGCAUUAUCAACUCCAACAAUUCAACAAAUAUCUUUUAUCUAUUGGUUAACACAAGUUAUUAUGUUUUAAAUAUUUUUCUAGAAAAUAAAAUAUUAACAAUCAUGGAACAACUUUGAUACAAGAAAUAAUGAUUGAAAGACUUCACAUAUCUGGAAAUGGAGAUUAAAAGAAAUUUAGUCCAGAUCAGCAACUAGUUUUGAGAAACAGUUAUAACUGCCAAUUAGUUAUCUACUGUCAUUCUCAAUUCUAUUAAAAGUUAGUUACAAAUGUAUUCUUAGGUAUUCCAUUUUCAUUGAUAUAUAGCGAACAUGUAAAAUGAAGGAUCAUAAUAAGAAAUAUCAGUUUCUCUUCUGAAAUUCUCUCUAUACUAUUCUCUUCUCUCUUCUUCUAAAUUCAUCAUCUUGAGCUGAAAUCUCGAACCAUAUUCCUGAAUCAGCCUACAAAUCUCGAGUUAUCUUUUAUAACUCCUACAUUUGUGUAACAUUGGUAUCAAAGCCAAUCGACUUCUUGGCAACCAUGACGAAAACAACAAGAUCCAUUGAUAGUUCUCCAGCUGAAAUGGGGGGAAUAAGGAAUAUGCUACAGAAAUUGACAGCGGAUAUGGAUACUUUGACAAGAGAGGUCACUAGCUUAAAAAGAUUGGAUCAAGUAGUGAUGGAAUUGAAAGAGUAAUUGGUGCAAUCUGGAGAAAAUAGGAGGGAGAAAUCUCCUCUGGAUAGAACAGGUCCCUCUGGACCUCGACAUUCAGAAGAAAGAAGGCAAGAUAAAAGCCCUGCAAGCUAUAACACUAACAAUUUCAAUUUCUCAAGAUGGUCGAGAAUGGAUUAUUUGAGAUUUUUUGGGGAUGAUUUUCGAUCUUGGUAGUUCAAAAUUGAACAAUUUUUCUCCAUGGAAAAUGUUGCUAAUGAGGAUAAGGUUUCUAUUGCAGCUUUGCAGUUGGAGAGAGAAGCCAUUUAGUAGUAUCUAUCUUUUAUGGUAUAUAGGCAAUAUUUACAAUCGCCUACAUGGACUGAGUACGUAAUGGCAAUGGUGGAUAGGUUUGGGACGAACUUUGAUGACCCUAUGGAGGAGCUGAAAAAGAUCAAACGGGUGGGGAGCGUGAAAGAAUAUCAGGCUCUAUUUGAGAAGUAUUUGACUAGGGUCAAAUUGUCUGAAGAAAAUGCUAUUAGUUGUUACAUUGGGGGUUUGAAACCUGACCUGAAAAUUGCUGUGAAGAUUACUCAACCUAUAUCACUUUCACAGGUGUAUAAGAGUGCAAGAAUGCAAGAAGCAUAUCUUACGGCCAUCAAACCAUCCAGUGGAUUCCAUAGUCUCAAUACAUCUACGAGGUCAACUGAGCACAGGUUGCAGAGUAAACUAGGACUAUUACCAACUCCAACUACUGGUUAUGCAGGGCCACAAAAAAAUGUUAAUCGGAGAACAUUAAGUAUUGAAGAAAUGAAUGAUAAGAGAUCUAAAGGUCUUUGUUACUUCUGUGGUGAAAGGUACACUUUUGGUCAUCAAUGCAAGACUAUUAAGAAGUUGUACUUGCUGGAAAUAGAGGAGCAGGAUGAGGGUGGUGAUGACCAGAUUUUGGGAAUUAUAGAUCCUAAAGAAAGUCAAGAAGUGGAGAUGACCAACACAAUGGAGCAACUAGAAAUUUCUAUUUAUGCUUUAAAUGGUUCCUUAGGAUAUAUGACCUUAAAAGUGACUGGCUAUCACUUUAAAAAGCCUUUACACAUCUUGAUUGAUACUGGUAGUUCACAUAACUUUACUGACCAUGAGUUAGUACAACAACUGGGGUGCCCUAUCAGAUCAGUUUUUCCUGAAAAAGUUGCAGCAACCAAUGAAAAUGACAUGCAAGUUGACAAGAUAUGCACUAUAUCUUGGUUGUUACAAGGAGCUGAGUUUUCUGAUGAUUUUUUGUUGUUACCACUAGGUUCUUGUGGGGUGGUUUUAGGGGUUCAAUGGCUUCUCACCUUGGGGGAUAUUAAGAUGAAUUUCAAGAAACUCACCAUGGAAUUCUACUACAAAGGGAUGAAACAUUGUCUUAGAGGUGCAGAAAGUCCAGUCACAACCUCAGGAGCUGGAAAAAUGGCUAAGUUUUCAGGUAAUCAAUCUCAACUAUGCAUGAUCCAAGUAGUUCCUUCUAUGAAUAAUGAUGUACAAUGGUAUGCCAUUGAAACUAAGGAACAACCUAAAACAGAUGCAAACUUAUUAAGUCUAUUGGUGCAGUUUUAAUCUUUGUUUACAGAACCUACUCAGUUACCUCCUUCUAGAGGUGUUUUUUAUCAUAGGAUCGUGUUACACCAUGGUACUGAACCUGUAAACAAGAUACCAUAUUGAUAUCCAUCUGUGAAAAAGGAUAUCAUUGAAGGGUUAAUACAAUAAAUAUUUAAUCAAGGGAUCAUACAACCUAGUUGUAGUCUUUUUGCUUCUCCUAUUGUUUUAGUUGGGAAGAAGGAUGGUUCUUGGAAGAUGUGUGUGGAAUAUAGAGAUUUAAAUAAAAUACUGUCAAGAACAAGUUUCCAAUUCCAAUUGUUGAAGACUUAUUAGAUGAGUUAGAAGGGUCCAAGAUCUUUUCUAAGAUUGACCUCAGGUCUGGUUACCAUCAGUUGAGGAUGGCAGAGGAGGAUGUGUCUAAAAUAGCCUUUAGAACACACUCAGGUCAUUUUGAAUAUUUGGUUAUGCCCUUUGGUUUAUCAAAUGCGCCAGCAACUUUCCAAGGACUUAUGAAUUUUGUAUUUCAACCCUUCCUAAGAAAGUUUGUCUUAGUCUUCUUUGAUAAUAUCCUUGUAUAUAGCAAGAGCUUGGAAGAUUAUUUGUUGUAUCUUACAGCUAUUUUUAAAGCUAUGAUGCAGCACCAGCUGUUUGCUAAAGAAAGUAAAUGUUUCUUUGGGCUGUUGAGAAUUGAGUAUCUUGGCCAUUUUAUUACUGAGCAUGGAAUGUCUACUGAUCCUCAGAAGGUGAAUGUUGUGCAGAAUUGGCUUGUUCCUACUACUCUGAAGUAGUUAAGAGAAUUUUUGGGAUUAGCCGGCUAUUAUAGGAGGUUCAUCCAGGGAUUUGGUAUAAUUGCUAGACCAUUAACUGACCUCUUAAAGAGGAACAAUUUCAAUUGGUCUAAUGAAGCAGCUACUGAAUUUGCAACUCUUAAGAAAAGACUUACUCAGGCUCCUGUUUUAGCUUUACCUGAUGCUACUAAACUCUUUAUUGUGGAAACUGAUGCAAGUGGGACUGGUAUUGGUGUUGUUCUCAUGCAAGAGGGCCAUCCUAUUGCUUUUAUUAGGAAAGCUCUUAGCCCUAAACAUGCAACCAUGUCGGUAUGUGAUAGAGAGUUAUUGGCUAUUAUGCAGGCUGUUACCAAAUGGUCACAAUAUCUUCUUGGUCAAAAGUUUGUCAUUAGAACUGAUCAGAAAGCUUUGAAGUUUUUAAUGGAACAAAAGUUGCAUACUAACUCUCAACUCUUGUGGUUGACUAAACUAAUGUCAUUUGACUACAUAAUUCAAUAUAAGAGAAGGGUGGAAAACAAAGUGGUUGAUGCUUUAUCAAGGGUGACAGGUGCUGAACUUAUGUCAUUGGUGCUAUCUACUGCUACUUGUGAUCUUUUUCAAGAUAUAAUUAAUAGUUGACAUACUGACCAUGAGACACAAGCUCUUAUUCAUAAACUCCAAACCUCUCCUGGCACUUUCAAGCAGUAUACUUGGUGUAAUAAUCAGUUCAGGAGGAAAGGAAGACUUGUGGUGGGAAAUAACCAUCAGCUGAGAAUUCAGAUCAUCACCUGUGGCAUUCUUGCCCUCAGGGUGGCCACUCAGGCAUAGAGGCCAUCUUGAAGAGAUUGCCGACUUUUUUCUACUAGAAAGGGCUCAGAUCUGAUGUUCAGGAGUUUAUUCAUGCUUGUGAUAUGUGUCAAAAAAACAAAGAAGACUUAGCAGUUUCUCCUGGUUUAUUGCAACUGCUGGUCAUACCUGAUGUAGUUUGGUCUCAAAUCAGUAUGGAUUUUAUCACUGGACUUCUUAAUUCUAGAGGUUAUGAAGUCAUAUUAGUGGUGGUUGACAGGUUAAGAAAAUAUGCUUAUUUCAUGGCUCUUAAACACCCUUAUACUGUUGCAUCUGUUGCUCAGGAAUUUUUGGAUAUGGUAGUGAAACUUCAUGGUCUUCCUAAUGCAAUUACUAGUGACAAAGAUGCUAUUUUCCUCAGCACAUUUUGGCAAAAUUUAUUCACCUUACAAGGGGUCCAUCUACACACAACAUCAGCGUAUCACCCACAGCCUGAUGGCCAGACGAAAGUACUGAACAGAUGUUUGGAGACAUAUUUGAGGUGUUUCUGUAGUGAAGAUGUUUCUAAUUGCUCAAAUUGUUUAGCUAUAGCUCAAUACUGGUACAAUACAUCCUAUCAUUCUGUUAUUCAUAUGACUUCAUAUAAAGCAUUGUAUGGCAGACCUCCUCCUUUGCACUUGCCUUACCUUUCGGGUGAAUCAGCUUCGGCUGAAGUUGAUAAUUCUCUUCUCCACAGAGAAUUGAUUUUACAACUUCUUAAGCACCAUUUGACCAGGGCUCAACUGAGAAUGAAGCAGCAGGCUGACCUACAUAGGAGUGACAAAUCCUUUGACGUUGGUGAUUGGGUGUACUUUAAAACUCAACCUUAUAGACAACAAACUAUUUCUACUAAGUUUCAUCACAAAUUUUCUGCUAGGUACUAUGGUCUUUUCCAGAUCAUCAAGAAGGUUAGGCCAGUAGCAUAUACUCUUUUGUUUCCGGCUGAUGUCAAGAUUCACCCUACUGUGCAUGUGUCAUUACUGAAGAAGUGUUAUGAGCUACCUGCUACUAUCUCUUAUCCCCUACCUUUGACUCAUCCCUACUGCCCCUCUCCGGAGAGUAUUUUGUAAAUAAGGAUGGUGAAGAAGGGCAAUAAGGUUAUUGCUUAGGUCUUGGUUAAGUGGCAAGACCUAUCCACUGAUGAGGCUACUUGAGAGUUCUACAAUGCGUUGUUGACUAGAUUUCCUUUUAUUAAUCCUUAUGGACAAGGAUCUCUUGUUGAAGAGAGUGUUGAUAUACGAGAUAAUGAUUGAAAGACUUCACAUAGCUGAAAAUAGAGAUUAAAAGAAGUUUAGUCCAGAUCAGCAACUAGUUCUGGAAAACGAUUAUAACUGCCAAUUAGUUAAACAGUUUACUGUCAUUCUCAAUUCUAUUAAAAGUUAGUUACAAAUGUAUUCUUAGGUAUUCUAUUUUCAUUGAUAUAUAGAGAACAUGUAAAAUGAAGGAUCAUAAUAAGAAAUAUCAGUUUCUCUUCUAAACUUCUCUCUAUUCUAUUCUCUUCUUUCUCUUCUCUCAUCUUCUAAAUUCAUCAUCUUGAGCUAAAAUCUCGAACCUUGUUCCUGAAUUAGCCUACAAAUCUUGAGUUAUCCUCUAUAACUCCUACAUUUGUGUAACAUAACUUCAUCUUAUCGAGGACUCUUGAUAGGAAGAAGGUGUGGAGAAGGCGGAUUAAGGUAGAAGAAUAGUAGAAACGAGUGCAUUGGUGCUAGUAGGUAGGAGGACUGUGUUAAUAGCUAUAGUAUUACUCCCUCCAUUUAAAAAAGAAUGACCUAGUUUGACUUGACACGGAGUUUAAGAUAAUAAAGAAGACAUUUGAAUCUUGUGGUCCUAAAUUAAAGUUAUGUCAAAUGUACCAAAAUGCCCUUUAAUCUUGUGGUCUUAAACAUGUCAUGUGGAAAGUUGAAAGUAAAGUAUUGCCAAAAAGAGAAAGGGGUUAUUCUUUUUUAAACGGACUAAAAAGAAAAGUAGGUCAUUCUUUUUGAAACGGAGGGAGUAGUAUUAUUUCGGAAUAUUGUAUCGUUUGUUAAAUUACUUAGUGAAUCUUGCCUAUGUUAUUAUUAGUUGCGGUAAUUUUUGUUGUAUCUUGUCUUCUUACUAUUCCUUUUCUAAAUUGUUUAUCUUGAUUCGAAGAUCUAUAAAAAAUAACCUCUCUAUCUCAUCGCUGAGGUAACGAUCUGAACCGGGACGCUUUAUAAGUGGACGUUGUGUUGUGUAUCUUGAGAAGGAAUUGUUUUUAAUUUAUUUAUUAUUUGAUGUUUGAUAUUUGUAUUGAAAUUAAAUGCAAAUUGAAAUUUUACAGACCCAUUUUUAGAGACUGCGCUCUUAAAAAAUUUCUUUCAGUGAAUAAAAAUUAAAAUAUAAAAAUUGUUUAUUUGUAGCCCUCGUGCAACACGUGAACACCUAUUUUCUUAAGGGAAAGUCAAUUGAUCCUGGAUAUUUUAUUUUUUUCUUUAACAAAGGAAUAUUCAAAUCAAUUUUCUUGGAGAAAUAAAUCGGAUCUGGUUGAUUUUUUUAAGGGAAUAUUUAAAUUAAAUGUGAUAUGAAUCUACACAUAAUUCAAAAUAUUCUUUCAGAAUUAUGAUCAGAAAUCUUUUUUGUUUUCAAUAGUCUUGAAAUACUCCUGAUUUAAAAUGAGAACUAUACUUCAUAUAAGAUUUAAAAGAAAAUUAAAAAAAAAAAGAAAAGAGUGGGAGUUUCCAAUAGGUGAACUUUGAGAGCUCAACACUCCGAGGGUCUAUCGAAAAUAACAUGUGUACGCGUAAACUUUCCAGACUUCACUUGUGAGAUCUCACUGAGUAUGUUUUGAACUCGGAGAGGUCAACAAAGUGGCACUCUUGAAACAAAAAAGUCUGAAAAGCUUCCAAUAGGUGAAAUUGGAAAGCUCAACACAUUGAGGGUCUUAUCAAAAACAACCUCUCUAUCUCAUAUCCCCGGCAUGUUGUUGUUGCUGUUGAACUUGGAGUGGUCAGCAUAGCGGCACUCUUAAAAGUCUGAACAGUUUUCAAUAGGUGAACUUGGAGGGCUCAACAUGUUGAGGGUCUUAACCCACAAAGGUAGGAGUAAGAUCUGCGUACACCUACCAUCCCGGCAUGUUGUUGUUGAUGUUGAACUUGGAGAGCUCAACACGUUGAGGGUCUUAUCGAAAACAACCUCCCUACCCCACAAAGGUAGGAGUAAAAUCAGCAUACACCUACCAUCUCGGGCAUGUUGUCGUUGUUGAACCUGGAGAGCUCAACAUGUUGAGGCUCUUAUCGGAAACAACCUCUAGGCUCUUAUCGGAAACAACCUCUCUACCUCAAAAAGGUAGGACGGACUUGUGAUCAAUCCAUAGACACAACAACAACAGCAACAACAUGCCCAGUGUAGUCCCACAAAGUGGUGAUCAAACCAUAGAUACCGAUAGAAAAUAGAAAGUAGAAAAUAGGCACUCAAGAAAAGUACAUACUCGAGAAUCAUUAAACAACUCCUUGUAGUGAGAGAUAAAAACCAACAACAAUUAACACAUUUUCCAGAUUUUUCAUAAUGCUUUUUUCAUGCUAAGUACAAUGCUCAAAUUCUUCGUUUAAUUCCUGAAUCUCGCAAGUUAAGCUACAGACAUUAGGCUUUCGUCGUAUAGUUCUUCAGAUGAGCUACAAACAUCUUCAGCUACAGCCUACAAUCGCGUUUCCCAGACCAUCACUUCAUAUAGCUUCUCAAACUAAAUGUUUGUUCAUUGCCGGACCAACAAACACUACCGUAGAUAUUGACUUACUUCAAGCAACGCACAGAUGAUGGUAUGGCAAGAUAUGGACGAUGACUGCUAAUCAUACCUUUGACGUCUGAGAUCCAGGGGGCAAGAAAGACUCCCACCACCCGUAUUCAUACUUCGGGUAUGGUGCUGUCCAUGUUUCCGGCUUUUCAAACUCAAGAUUAACCGGAGUACUUGCCAAAGCUUCUUCUAGACUGUCAGCCUCAUAGCUCUCUUGUAAAACUCGGUCUAGCCUCAGUUUCAUGAACCUACAAGUUUCGAAAAACAGAUCAAAAGAAAAAUAGAAAAUGUACAACUUUACCACUCUGCUAUACGAAAUAGCUUAAAUGUACCAUCUGUUAUAUAGUUUGGGGUCAUUCAUACCCACGCUGCUAGCAAAUCUUCUCGUAACUGCCCUUGUCUUUAAGGGAGCUCCACCGUGGACGGGGUUAUACCACAUAUCAAAAAUACAUCGGGGAAAAAGUAUCUAACUUGUACCCCCGCUACUUUUCCUUGGUUUAAAAUUAACUACCGUUAUACUUCAGAUUGGAGUUUCGUCAGGGUCAAGGGCAAGCACGAGAUGAUUUGCUAACAUUGAGGAUAUGAACGAACCUAAAGUACACCAAAUGGUAUUAGUUAAGAUAUCUCGUAUAGUAUAGGAACAUUUUGACCUCUUUCUCCUGAUUUUCUAAGUUACUCGGACUCUCCAAAAUUGUUGCCGUACCCGUGUCAGAUCCUUCAAAUAUACGCUAUUUUUGGAGGAUCCGACAUGCACCUGCCGACAUUUUUGAAGAGUCCGAGCAACAUAGCUGAUCUUAACUUGUUAUAGACGGCAAAUCUUUUGAUGAUGCAUACAGACAGAAACAAAUGGAGUAAUUAGUGUCUCGAUUAUUUAACAAUGACAGCCCCUUACGUGAUCCAUGGGCCAUUCGUCGAAACAAGUGCUACAGCAGGUCUCUUCAGUCUCUUGGUGAUAUUAGGGAACUUGUCCAAGAACUUGGGCUCAAUUACAAGCCAGAAAUCCGGUUCUUUGUUGCGCUCUCCAUAGAGACGACGACGUUCAAACAUUUGCUCCUGGAAAUGCUCCUCUUCGUCCAGCAUAAAUUUGGCAUUCGCAACAAGGAAAUAGUACUUCUUCCUUUCAGUCUCUUGCUGUAUAUACAACAGAAAAUCAGCAUCAACAUUCGUAACAUUGAACUAAAGCAAAUGACGCCAAACAGGGAGUAAUUUAAAUUAACGUCUUUUCCUUUUCACUGCAAUGAUCCGUCACAGACGACCAAAAUAUACAUUCAAAGGCGAGUGAGAGUAGGACUAAUAAAAGUAACAUGAAUUACAUACCCUGACCCUCUAAUAGACUAAGUUGCGUGGACUCAUCACUUUUGAUUCCGCACCCGUGUCAGAUUCUCCAAAAAUACACUACUUUUUGGACAAUCCGACACGCACCCGCUGACAUUUUUGAAGAGUCCAAGCAACAUAGCUAAUAGAUGGUUAUUUUAAUUUCAUUUCGACCUUCUCGUGUCUCUAAUACCCAUAUUGCUAAACGAAGAAGUGAACUCAGUUUUGACCAGAAACGUACGAGUGUAAUCAUUCAAUCAACACAAUCAGCCACGGCUCAAUCCCAAAUCAACUGCGAAUUGCUACAUAAAUCUGAUGUAACAUUCUGCUCUCAGUUCGAUUUCAUACAAUACUACCUAAUUUGCUAAACAAGGUAACUAGUGUAAUUACAGCUAGUUGGUAGUGUGCCAAUCCGGGGUGGAGUUAGAGAGUAGGAAGCGAGUUCAGCAGAACCUAGUAUUUGUCUCAAGAAAUACAUCUAAGAUGUAUAAAUUAUUACUCCUUCUGUCCCCAGAUACUUGUUACGUUUCACUUUUCGAGAGUCAAACUACAUAAGCUUUUGAUCAAUAUUUUAAACUGAACAUCACAUUCUGGCUUCGCCUCUGGCGCCUACAUGGAUCCCUUGCUAUUAACAUGUUUUGUUCUUAGCCUGCGUUGGUUCCGAGAGAAUUUUGGCCUUUCGAGACAAACAAAGCUUGCACUUGCGCAAUGGAGGGUCUCAUAUUCAACUUUACACGAAGCAGGGAAAUUGAGAGUAAACAAAGACUAUAACCAGGGGCGGAUACAAGUCUUACAUAUUGGGUUCAUCGUGAAGCAUAAACUUAUGCAUUUGAAUUCAUUACAAGAAAUAGUAGAGAUGAACCCAUAACUUAUUAUUGUAGGUUUAACGAGGAGAACCUUAAAAUAUUGAACGCGUUUAAGCUUAAAUAUUGGAUCCGCCUUUGCUUUACAGCUACACUAUCAAAGAAAUUGUAGACAUGAAUGGCAGGCAAAAGAAGACCAUUUUUGUAACAAUAACAAACAGGAGAACCAAAUAAAAAGGCAAUAACGAGAGAGUUUGGUCUUUUUUUCCCUAAAAAUGUGGGGAUUAGGUGCGCUUGCACGCACCUCGACUUAUUCCACGUGGCACCUGCUAUCUCCCACCAACACAAGAACCGGGUGGACAAACUGGAAGAAACCUGAGACCUCAUACUUCUUAACCUACUUCAUUGCUCGCUAGGCCACGUCUUUGGGUGCAAGAGGGUCUGGUCUUUUGAGGCAAAUAAAGCACUAACACUAUUAGAGUUUCAUGCUCAAGUUCAAACGAAGCAGAGAAAUGGAAGCUAAGUUGCUCCGACUCUCUAAAAAUGCUGCCGUAUCCGUGUUUGAUCCUCCAAAAAUGCCCUACUUUUGAAGAAUCCGACAUGCACCUAAUGACAUUUUUGAAAGUCCGAGCAACAUAGAUUGAAAGCAGGUGAAAAAUAUAGCUGCUAUACUUUCAGAGCAAUUAGACAUGAAUGGCCAUUGGUGGAUAUAACAUAUUGACAUCAGGUUCAUCUGUACCCAAUACUUUCGACAAAAGCAUAAAUUUAUACAUAAAAAUUCACAAAAGUUGAAACAAAUAGUAAAUAUGAACCCAUAACUUCAAAGAUAAACCAUGUUUAGUGCUAAAAAAUGUAAAUGUAGAACCCAUAAAACUUAAAUCCUAUAUCAACUUCUAAAAAAGACACACAAAGAAGCCAUUUAUAUUUAAAAUUCAUGAAGAUUGCACCAAGCAACAAAUAGUAAAUAUGAGGGAAAAAGGUUCGAAAUAUACCUAAAUUUUGGCGAAAUUUGUUGUAACACACGCCUCAACUUUACGGGAGUCUUAUGACCCCUUUGACUAUUUAUUACCGUAUUUUUGUGGCAUAUAUUUGCUACUGCGUGAAUACACGCGCACUGGCGCGUAAGAGUCUGAAGUGGUCUAGCUGAACAAAUAUAUGUCAUAGAAAUACGGUAAUAAAUAGUCGAUCGGACCCCCACAAAGUUAAGGAGUGUUACAACAAAUUUCGCCUAAGUUUAAAUAUAUUUCUGACUCUUUUCCCUAAAUAUGAACUAUAACUUCAAAAAUAUAAUGGGCUCAAUGCUAAAAGAGUUAAACGUUGAACCCACAAAACAUAAAUCCUAAAUCCGCGUCCGCAAAUGACACUCAAAAGAAGCCAUUUUUUAAGAGAAAAUGCACUAUUUUCACCCUGAACUAUAAACGAAAUUGCUGAGACACACUCCAACUUAAAGGAUAUUAUUAACCCUUAACUAAUUAAAAUCGUAUUUUUAGCAACUUUAAGGCCUACAUGGCACACUGCAUGAAUCAAUAUAUUGAAGGUCCACGUAGGCACUUACUCCUUGAGUUGGGGUGUGUCUCCGCAAUUUUGUUUAUAGUUUAGGUGAAAACAGUGCAUUUACUUUUUAUUUAACAACUAUUUAAUGACAUUAUCUCCAUUUUAUCCUCACUGAGUCCCACUUAACCAAAAAAAAAAAAAAAAAAGAGUAAACAUUAAAGUGACUUAAGAGCGGGCAAUUCGGUAAAUUUUACAAAGUAAAUCAUUUAUUCCUUGAACUCUGUGUCUGGUCAAAUGGCGACACAUAAAAUGAAACGGAGGGUGUAAUAUUUACACCAAUACAUCCACAAAUUAAAAAAUGUAACAGAAAAAAGGUGAGAAAUAGUAGGUCUAGUUAAUUUCCAGCUACAAUGCUUAAAAACAGUGCUGCUAUUGUUGUUAUUGUUGUUGGGUGAUGGUGGUGAAAAUUGAGCACCAUGUAAAAGGAAAGAAGAAGAUUUAUGAGGACAAUGAGUUGGAAAAUUCACUAAGGAAGUGCAAAAUGAACCAAGAUUUAGAGAUGUUGAAGAUGACAUUGUUAAUUAUCGAGAAUCAGUCUGUAUUGGAAUGGCACGAGAGAAAAAGAAGAUAGUGCCAACUGAGAUAAAUGCACCAACCUUAUCCUACCUUUUUAUUUCUUCAAA